AUGGUUCGAAAAAAUGAAAUCUCGAUGGAUAUAUCGAGAUAAUAUCGAAUAUCGAUGGAAAUUUUACUAAAUUUUAUCUAAAAGUUGUAUAUUCGACCAAAAAUAGACUAAAUAUAAAAUAUCGGAAAGAUAUGAAAAUUAAUAUCGGUAAUAGUAAAAAACGGAAAUUUCGAGGAUAUUUUGGAUAUUGAACUCUUACAACUUACAAGAAUGGCGAGGACCAAGGCGCCCCAACAAGCAAACAUGUAAAGAGACUAGCAUUAAUAUCUUAGCGCAUGCAUAACAUAACAAUGAAUAUAUAAUAUGAAAAUGAUUCUUGGUCUUAAUAAGGCUUAAGAUUUAUGACUUUAAUCUUAUGUAGCAUGCUAUAUAUGUAAUAUCCCACAUCGGCCAAACGGAGAGGGGUUAUGUGCUGUAUAUGUACAUGCCCACCACCAACCUAACACGAGGCCUUUUGGUGGCUCAGCGGCUUCGGAGGGGAUGGGUACUCCGAGGUUAAGCAUGUUGAUGCUAGAGCAAUCCCAGGAUGGGUGACCUACUGGGAAGCUGCUCGUGAGCUGCCAAAAACAAAACCGUGAGGGCCGGUGGGCCCAAAGCGGACAAUAUCGUGUUACGGCGGAGCGGGUCCCGGGGUGUGACAAAUGGUAUCAGAGUCACUCUGCCGUGUGGUGCGAGUGUGCCGACGAGGGCGUCGGACUCCCAAGGGGGGUGGAUUGUAAUAUCCCACAUCGGCCAAACGGAGAGGGGUUAUGUGCUGUAUAUGUACAUGCCCACCACCAACCUAACACGAGGCCUUUUGGUGGCUCAGCGGCUUCGGAGGGGAUGGGUACUCCGAGGUUAAGCAUGUUGAUGCUAGAGCAAUCCCAGGAUGGGUGACCUACUGGGAAGCUGCUCGUGAGCUGCCAGAAACAAAACCGUGAGGGCCGGUGGGCCCAAAGCGGACAAUAUCGUGUUACGGCGGAGCGGGUCCCGGGGUGUGACAAUAUAUGCCACCGGCCACCUAGACACAUCACUAAUUAAAAUGAUUAUGUCAUGUCGUUCUUAAGCAAAAAUACAAUUUUAUCCUUUCAAAUCUAAUGACUCUAGAUUAUUUUGUCUUUUUAUUAAGAGAAAAAAAUUGAUUUGUCUUUCUUUUAUAAUUAAAAAAUAUAUAUUUCUAACAUUUCUUUCUCGUUUUCUCUUCAUCACUAUUAUGCUUAGAUUGAACGUAACAUAUAGUGUGAGAAUACAUAUAUUUAUGAGAAUAUACUUGUUCAAAACCACGAGUUCUUAAGAAAUAUAUAUAUAUAUAUAUACAUAUAUAAUUUGUCCAAAGAAAAAACAAUUUCGUUCAAGUAAUUUUUUUUACAUACACACACACAGGUAAUCAUCCAAAAGAAAUUUGAUAGAGAUUUUUCUAUUUUUUUUUAAAUUCGAUACAGAAUAUGGCUUAUAUAUAAAUAUCAUAAUUUUAAAUUGCAAAAUAAAAUAUUAAAAUGGAACUAAAUUUCGAUUCACAAAGAUAGACGGAAAUUUUAAGAAAUUUACGAAAUUGAUUUAUGGUAUAAAAGCCUAAUUUGUAUGAUUAUUAACUCGGUCAUUAUUAUUAAUAAAUUAACUAAAUUUGGUAUAUACGUAUCCAUAUUAAAAGAGUAAGAAAAUAUUUCAUAUUAGUCAUGUAGCAUCCAUUAAUUAUUAAGGUUAAGAUUGUAUUUUUACCUAAGAAUGAAAUGACAUGAUCUAUUAAAUUGAUGAUAUGUCUAUGUGACAUGACAUAUGCCACAUAUGAUUAAGACCAUAAAUCUUAGGCCUUAUUAAAGUCCUCUAGCACUACCCUAUAUAAUAAAUGAGGUUAUAAUUAACACGUACGUAAAUAUUGAGCUGCCUGACAAAGCUAGAGAAGUUAUUGUGCUUGUUGGGAGGAGAUCUCUAGCAAACUCGAUCGGCUGCCACACUAUGAACGCCGACCCGUCUUUAUUCCUUAAAACUAUCUUAUUAAAACCCUCUAGCACUACCCUAUAUAAUAAAUGAGGUUAUAUUAACACGUACGUAAGUAUUGAGCUGCCUGACAAAGCUAAAGAAGUUAUUGUGCUUGUUGGGAGGAGAUCUCUAGCAAACUCGGUCGACUGUCAUACCACGAACGCCGACCCAUCUUCAUUCACCAGCAUGUACGUCUUCAACUAGAAAGGUGGCGGGCUCGACUUCCUUAUUGAUGCAGGUGCAUAUACGGCAAUAUUAAAUUAUAGAUUCAUAAUAUUUGAUAUUGUGUUAUUAAGAUAGUUUUAGGGAAAUAUUUAUAAUUAUUAAGAUUUACGUUUAAUUAGCUUUCCUUUUUAGCUUGAGUUUGCUUAUUCUCCUAGUAUUAUAAACCAUUUUUUUUUUUUCUGAUCUAAAGGUCAUUCCAUUUAAAUCAGAGCAAGCAGUACAAAGAUGACGUACCCCAAUGGGGUCGUCAGAAAACAUCGUCUUGCAAAAUUGCAAAUCCUAUACUAGAUAAAACAUAAGCUAUGAAAUCCUAAGUACACCCACCUUGUUCGGUUAAGCACUUUUAUUUUACAGGUACACUAGGUUUCAAAGAAAAAAAUCAAGCUUACACGAAAAAACUAGUUACCUGGACCUAAACAAAGAUUAAAUCUUUUCCGGAUUCGGAGUGCCAAACGCACUCCCUUUGGUAGUUUGAAGCAGAACACUCUCAGUCACCCUCACCACCGGAACCUCAGAGCCAUCAGUUUCCUUCCUUAACUCACUAGUCGUGUAAUAUCCCACAUCGGCCAAACGGAGAGGGGUUAUGUGCUGUAUAUGUAUAUGCCCACCUCUAAUCUAACACGAGGCUUUUUGGUGGCUCAGCGGCUUCGGAGGGGAUGGGUACUCCGAGGUUAAGCAUGUUAAUGCUAGAGCAAUCCCAGGAUGGGUGACCUACUGGGAAGCUGCUCCUGAGCUGCCGGAAACAAAACCGUGAGGGCCGGUGGGCCCAAAGCGGACAAUAUCGUGUUACGGCGGAAUGGGUCUUGGGGUGUGACAAAUGGUAUCAGAGCCACUCUGCCGUGUGCUGCGAGUGUGCCGACGAGGGCGUCGGACUCUCAAGGGGGGUGGAUUGUAAUAUCCCACAUCGGCCAAACGGAGAAGGGUUAUGUGCUGUAUAUGUACAUGCCCACCUCCAAUCUAACACGAGGCAUUUUGGUGGCUCAGCGGCUUCGGAGGGGAUGGGUACUCCGAGGUUAAGCAUGUUGAUGCUAGAGCAAUCCCAGGAUGGGUGACCUACUGGGAAGCUGCUCUUGAGCUGCCGGAAACAAAACCGUGAGGGCCGGUGGGCCCAAAGCGGACAAUAUCGUGUUACGGCGGAAUGGGUCCUGGGGUGUGACAAGUCAAAGUAGAGCCUUCGAAAGUCACUCACCUCAACAGGAUUUAUGAUCAUGCCCUCAUCAGAACUAGGUGCUUCUUUCCCUUGUUACCAGACGAGUUAGUUUUCUUGUGGCUCUGCUACUUUUUCGGUUGAGCCGCCGCUGCCAGCUCCAACUCCUCCUUGGAACGAUUUUUGCUUCCAAACGGACGUCCCAGCUUCUUCUUUUUUUGGGGAGAAAUAAUCAGCUUCCUCUUGUCAUGAGCCAAAGCAAUCCCAACAUUCAUAAUAUCCAAGGAUGGUUCGGGGAACUUUCGGUACCUUUUCCCACUCCUCUCGCAUUCUACGCCACUACGCUUCUUACCAAUGAUCUUGUUCGGCACUUCCUUGUCCAGCAACAUCGGUAUCACCUUUGAGGUUGUACCAAUCACUGCCACUUCCUUUCUAGCCGUCGUGUAAUACCCUAGAUUUUCAUAUCAAUUUCCUGGUAUUAUUUCCAGAUUUAGUGAAUGAUUAUUUAUGGAAAUUGUUAUUGAUUUAUGCGAAGUUGAAGUUUCGGGAGUUUAUUUUAAGGUGCUUGUUUUAAGUGGCCAAAAGUUGACUUUAUUUUCUGUAAGUUAUUUUCAAAAACUUCCUUCAUGAAAGUUGUAGAGCACAAUGAUACGAGUUUGUGGACAUGUGACACGCAUAAAACGGACUUCGUAUGUGGAAGUUAUGGUCAGCAGAAGUUCGUGGCUUUACGGGAUUUUUGGGUUAAAUAAGAGAAGUUCUAGGUUCCAUUUCAUUUUUCCGGAACCCAUUCCUUUCUCUCUCUCUUUCUUCUCUCUCUCUCGCGAUACCUUCAGUAUCAAAGUUCUCCAGCCGACUCGACCCAGACCCGGUUGACCCGACCCGGAUUUUCCGACGGACCCAAACGGCAGCACCGAUCAGGUUUUCUUUCUCUCCUCGGCGUGAUCCUCCUUGUGUAGGUGGGUGAGGACGACUUGAGCGGGAUUGAGAGAAUCGAACGCUGCAGCGGAGGGUGGCGGACCCGACUCCAAACCUAGGGUUUUCCUGCCGUGUACGGCGGCGACUGGAGGCGAGGCUGCCCAUUUCUUAAAUCACUCUUCCCUCUAAGCACGUUUCAAGCUGCCAUUCACUUCAUUUUGAGGUCUAGAAGUCGGAUUGAGGCACCUUGGCAGCCGGUUUUCUUUUGGACGUUUCCGGCCGAAUGGGUUCAACCUUCAGGUAUAAAAGAUGCUCCUCUUGCUUCAAUCUACUAGUUUACUGUUGGAAGUUUGUCCAGAUUUUGAAGUUGUUGGGGUGGCGCGUGGGGCCCACUCUCAGCCGCCUGUGGUGGCGCAUGGCAACGCAUCCAGCAGUUUCCUAGCUCUAGGUUUCUGUGGUUAGCUAGCUCUUGUUAUUGUGAGCUUGUUGAGAUGUGGAAAUUCUAGGUUUUGUGUAAGUAUUGCAUGUUAGGACAUUAAGUUUAAGCUUAGGUUUGUGUGAGGUUUGAGUUUAGGUUAUGAGGAUUGGAGGCAGCCUUGUUUAGUCGUUAAGUUCAAUGACCUUGGAAGGUUGUCCUCUUUUGGGCUAAGGUUAGUUUGAGGGUGUUUUGUUAUCCUUUAAUCCGAAUGUGCUAAAGGCUAUCAAUUGUGUUAAUUAGGUAGCUUGUGGAAUUGAUUUGAGCUUGGCUCUUGAGUUUAUUGUGAAGACGCAACGAGAAUAUUUAGAUGAGUAACAUCUUACCAAGGUUCACUUGGGACCAAUUAUUGAUGAUGAUUAUUAUAAAAUUGUGUUGAUGAUAAUGAUUAUUAUGAUGAUGAUAAACUGAUGAUGAAUUAUGAUAAAUGAUUAUUAUGAUGAUGAUGAUGGUGGUGAUGAUAAGGUUUAUGAUGAUGAUUAUUGUUGAUGAUUUUAAUGUAAAAAUUUUAUUUUUGGUUGUUUUAAAAUAUAUGAGCUUGAUCGCCAACGGCUCAUAUGUAAGAUAAAACAAGUUUUCCUAUUAUAUAAUUAUUUUUAAGGUUCAUAAAAUUAUAAUAUUUUUUGUUCUUGAUAGGUUAUUCUUGUGGGAAUAACUAUGUCUUGUGCAUAUUAAUAUAUCUAUGUGGAAAGAUAUAAUUUUAUGAUGUGCUAUUGGGUUGUUGAUGUUGAUUUUAUUAUAUUGUGAUUUGUGGUUUAGAUAGUUAAACCGGGUUCCAAGCCUUUAAUCGGGUGAUUGGUUACGGUUAUGAUAAUUCUACCCUUAUGUGAAAUGUUGUGUAGAUAGUCAAACCGGGUUCCAAGCCUUUAAUCGGGUGAUUAGUUACGGUUAUGAUGCUAUUAUUAUUUUGUGAUUUGAUAUUGGACAGUCAAACUGGGUUCUAAGCCUUUGGCCAGGUGAUUGGUUACGGUUACGAAUAGAGCUCUAGUCCGUCUGUCGGUGUAGGUCAUGGGAGGUACCUUAAUGUAUCUAAGACCCAUGGGUACAUAAAUUGUUGUUGAAGGUCAUAAGAGAUAUUUAUUAAUAUCUGGGACUCAUGGUACAUGUGUUUGUUGUAGGUCAUGGGAGAUACCUUAUUGAUAUCUGGGACUCAUGGGUACAUGUAUAUUGUAAAAGUAUUUGUUAUGUGGUUUUAACAUUGUUCUUAAUUUUUGUCAUUAAAAUUCCUUGUUUGAGUAUCCCCUGAACUAUGCUUAAUGCAGAAGAUUCUUUAAUCUUAUUUGUGUGAUUUUUGUGAAAUUCCUGAACUAUCCUUUUUGUAAAAUUCACUUAUGAUUUGAUUGUUGUGUGAAUUGUUGUGUUUUCUUAUUUACUCUCUUUUGAAUUUUAUUGUUUUGAGACAAUUCCUGAACUAAGUUCUAAGCAGGAAUUUCCGUUUUUAUUUUAUGUGAUGUUGGGUUGAGUUAUUUUUUAGAGUUAUUCAUAUUGGCCUUUUAGCUUAUCGGGUUUGUUGUUUACAACCCGGUGCACCAAUUCAUGGUGUAGGGGUUAGACCUACAGGUGUUGAUCAGCAAAGUUGAGGCGGAGGCAUAUAUAGUGGCAGGGUUUUUAGUUGUUGUAUACUUGAUAUUUUUAUAUUUGGUAGACAGCAUUAAAUUCAUUCGAGUGUUUUCAUUUCUUAAAUUUCAAGUUAUGUAAACAAUGAAAUGUAAUAUUGACUCGAUGUUGAGUUGUGUUGACAUUACAUUUCUGCAAUUGAGAUUAGUCUUCUUUAAGUUGUUGAACAGGUCUUGGGAAUUUUAUUAUUGUGAGUUAUCAUGCCCAAAUUUUUUAAAAUUUAUCCUUCGAAAAUUGGGGUGUGACAGUCGGCCUAGUCUUCUCAACUCUUAUCAAAACCUUUCCGGCCACUGUAUUCUGUAUAACAGCGACAACAGGAACUUUGGUUGCUGUAGCAUCAGAUGACACUUCCAGAGCUCUAGACUUUUUUUAUAGGGGAGAGAACUGAACUCUCACUACCCCCAGAUGUACCAAAAUGCUGUGAGUGUGAAUUGGUAGGCGACAAAACCCUAGCCACCUUUGCUUUCAGCGCAGCAUGUCCGAUUGACUUCAAGAAUAGUGACAAAUGACUCAUCGAAUUCCUCCGACGGAGCUUUCAGCGCCUCCCUCUCCUUCUGAAUCAUAUGAUCACACCCCAUUGCAUCAUGAAUGAACAAUCCACACAAUCGACGAAAACCCUUCACCUUAUCAUAGGUGAGAUCCACCUCUGCCACUGUUCCAUCCAUCUCGAACUCAAUUUCCUGCCAAACUCGGAUGCGCCUUCGCACAUCAAACUCCAGUUUGAUCUUUUGAACCUCUUCCUUUCUCUUCAGCACAGUCUGAUCAAAUCGAAUAACUCGACCUAACCCAGAUCCCACCAUAUUUAAGGCUUUAGGGUUCCUCAAAUUAUGAACAAGACCCUCUACUGCCACCCAUGUCUCUAAUGUAUUCAGAGGGACGGCAGACGGAUCUCCCCUCCCAUCAUACAACCCUAACACCAACAUGGUGUUUCUGUAGUGCCAGGGUCCCCCAUGCAAGACUCGGUUUCGUUCUGCAACGCGCUCGAAUUGGAAGACAAACCGGUCGCCUGCAUCCGACACCGAGAGGCCUCUCUUCAUUCUCCAUAUUGUCGAGAUCGUCCCUUUGAAUCUUGGAAAUUUUGCUUUUGGGCCCAGAAGGCGUCCCACCAGAUAUGCAUGGUCUUCCUAAACAGCUUUGCCUCUCUCAAUACCGAUCUUGAUGUGAGAAGAGUAAGAGAGCAGUAAUCUAGAUGAAGCGGCUUGAAAAGCCGAUCCCAAGGAUUCAAUAGCAGCGGCCAUGGAGUUUGUUUUUCGACAAAGGAGACGAAACCCUAGCAGAGCGGCUAGGUCGAAGAGAAAAUCUGUUAGAAAUGCUCUUACAUUCUUGUCCGUUUAUAAAUCAUCUAAAUAUGGCUAUUGUAAUAGUUGUCAGACAAUUUAUGUUUUAUGAAUUAAAUCAGUUUAUUUGUGACAUAGAUUUGUCAUUUUCUACAAGUUUGCUAGUGACUGUUAGAGACGUAUUCUCGGAUACAUGAUCAACAUCAGUUGGUAUCAGAGCUCGGGCGAGAGCUUAGUGGAUUCCAUGUCUCAAGUCGGACAAAGAGGCGGAGGUUUCAGAAUGGAGGGUCGUGACAUCAGCAACGACAUGGUUGAAAUCAAAAGGAUGUUUCAGCAACUUGCGGUACGUAUUGAUCGUAUUGAAGCUUGACGACGGGGUCGUAAGAGUACCGAUGGGGAGAAAAACGUUACCACCUAUUGUCAAUGUAUUGAUCGCAUAGAAACUUUCAACCAAGAUGGUGACGGUUCUGACGGGGAGAUAUGCGUUGGUUCAUUUCAUCGUUGUGCUCCGUUGUGUGAGUUGGGUGAAAGGGGAGAACUUGUUAGUUUCGACUAUGAAUGUUCAAAUUCUAUCUUUACUUUUUCAGUCAAUAAUAAUUCAGAAAAAGAAAAAUGAUGGUGUUGUGGAUUUUAGUAAGCCACCGAUUUAUGAUGAUUGUUUUUGUGAGGCUUGUUGUGGCAAUUGUGGUGUGGAAGAAGAUGAAGGCACCAAUAAGGGAGCGAUCAAGCCAUUGAAGAAGGAUAUUGACAAUAAUUUUGUUGAUUUUCUUGGAGUUAAUGUCUUCAUCAUUCAGAUUCCCAAAACCGUAGUUAAUUUUAGGAUUAAUUUCAGUUUACUCACCUGAAGUUUGAUGUUGACAUCAUUUCACCCCCCAUACUCUUAAUUUUGAAUUUUUACCACCCAAUCUCUCCAAUUUUAGCCUUUCGUCCCCCAUCUCUCAUGUUUUGUCCAACUGGUCUGUUAAAUUUGAAAAUUGAGGGUUAAAAUGGUCAUUUUCACACAAUAUUAUAUCCAAAAAUUGAAAUGAGCAACAUAAACUUAACCUAUUAUACAUACAAAGAUUUGCCGCCAAAAUUUGAACCACCACAAAUCCAUUAAGUACUAGAAUAUGGAAACAACAAAUUGGCAGCAUAUUUAGGGAAUUCAAUAGCAUAUUUAGGGAAUUCCAGUAUAAAAAAAAAAACCUGCUGCGUUUAUGUGAAUGAACAAAUGACAAUCACAACCAAAUAUAGAUUUUAAAGGAGUCUUCAUAUAUUACAUAUAAUAAAUUGGUGCAUACAUUGUCUUGAGCAUUAUAACCCAAAUGGAUGACCAUGAAUACUUUACAUCCAUUAAACCAAAAAGGAAAAUAGAAAGUUGCUUUAGCCUAUAGCUCUAAUCAUUUUGUCAAAAAAUUAGAGCUAGCAACCAAUUGACAUAACUCAAGGUUGCACAAAAAGCAGCAACAUUAACAAACCUAAUAUCACAAAGUUCAAGGCAUGCUAACAAGACAACAUACAAGACCUAAUUCUAUCUUUUCCCAUCGGUUGAUCUGAUUCUUGUAGAUGACUUAGUAGAUGUUGCUUGUCUAGAUGAUGAAGGUUUAGGAUGUGGGUUUACCCUUGUUGGAGUAAGAGCUGUAGCUCUUGAUAUUGCCGGAGUAGAAGUUGUUACACUUGACAUUGUUGUAGUAGCAGCAGAAGGUCUUGAAGUUGUUGCAGAUCUACCAUUUGAUCCUCUUGACACAUUAGAUUUUUUUGCUGCUCCUGCUGCCUGUUCUGCAUUCUUUAAAUCUCUCUUUUCCUACAUAAAGACACACCAACACGCAAACAAAUACCCCAAUAGUUAAUAAUGCAUGCAACAACCACAAGUAAAGCAAGAUUGUUACCUUCAGCCUUUGUGCCUUUAGUUGUAUCUUCUUCCUCAAAUCAUUUGUGCUCAAUGGUCCUUUUUUGCUAGUGUUGUUCUACAACACAUACACACAAAUGAAAAUAGACACACCAAUAACCAAAUUUCACGAUAUAGAGAGGAAUAAAGUUCAUACCUGAGUUUGAGAUGUAGAUGCAUCCAACUUUCUUCUUGGUACUGCUUGUUGAGGUCUUGUUCUUGGGUGGCAAGUGUCAAUGACAAGUCUUCCUAUUAUGACCAAUUUGAUUGCAGUUGCCACACUUAAGAGACCUUUAAAUUCUGCCAAGCUUGGUAUAAUCAAUGGCUGUCUUCCUUUCAAAUGCAUCUUUUCUUCUGUUUGUCCUUGGUCUCCCUGGUUGUCGGUUGUAUAGUGGGGAAAGGAUUGGGGGUAAUGGACUCAUGGACCACAACUCCAUACCAUUAACAGGCUUGAUUGUAUUAACAUAAAUUACCAUGUAGGUCUUCUUCAAGUAGCAUAGAUCAACAUAAUCUUCAGGGGCAUGUCUCAUAAAAUUAAUGGCUGUCACAACAUGUUUACAUGGGAUGUCAGUUAAAUCUCAUCUUCUACAUGCACAAGUGCGGGCUUGAAGGUCCACCACAUACUUGCUGUCUCCUAGGCUUUGAACUUUAAUAUGUGGCAUACCUUAGCCAAUAGGUAUGCAAUCGGUUGCUGCCUUAACCUUGUUUUUCUCCAAGAGUUCCCUAGGUUUGGGGCAGAUUGUAUCUUCAUGUUUCAUCAUCUUAUCCCUCCUCACAUGAAUCCUCCUCAUCAGCUUAACUCUUAUUUCUUCAAAACAACUCACAAUUGGCUUCUUUCUAGCUGGUACUAUAAAUGCAUUGAAGCUCUCAGACAAAUUAUUCAACAAAACAUCACACUUCAAGUGUGUUCUGAAAUAAGCCCUACACCAGUGCUUGGAAGGCUUAUUAGGAUCUACAAUCAUAAAAAAUAUAACAUUUCAUUAAAAUGAACAAAUUGUAAACAAAUUACAUACGACGUAUUAAGAACACGAGUUACUUACGCAUUAAGCAAUCCCAUGGUUUAGGAUUUAGUUGGCUCAUAAGGAUCAUUUCUUUGGCAAAAAAGUUCUCAUUUGUUGCCUUUGCACAUGCCCAAAGCUGAUCCUUCAUCACCUUGCCAGGAAAUAAUUUGUUGAAGUUUGUCCUCAAGUGUCUAACACAGAAUCUAUGGUCUGCAAGUGGCAUAACCGAGUCGAAAGCAGGCAACAACCUCUUUUGUUUAUCACUACUGAAGGUCCAACCAGCCCCCUCAUCCCUUAUGUGUAAAUCCUUCGCCAACAAGUCUAAAAACCACUCCCAACUAUCUUUACUCUCCAUCUCCACCACAACCCAUGCUAAUACCCAUGUUGUGUUGUUAGCAUCCAACCCUACAGCUGUGAGUAAUUGACCUCCAUAACAGCUCUUCAAAUGGCACCCAUCUAGACCAAGCAUAGACCUACAGCCUGCUUUAAAUCCCAACUUCAGUGCUCCUAAACAGAUAUACAUCCUUUUGAAAACAGGUAAUCUUGUGUUGAAGUCGCACUUUAUGUCAAUAAUGGUAUUUGGAUCAGCUCUUCUAAGUUCUUCCCCGUAGUCCUUUAUUCUUGCAUAUUGCUCCUUGAUGUCAGCUUCUAAACGAGCCAAGGCCGCCCUUUUUACUCUGUAUGCUUCUUAGUUUGACACUGUUGCCUUCACACCAACUGACAUAUGUUGUGCAAGGGACUCUGUAAAGCAACCAAAUUUAUAUCAAGAAAAAAAAAAAAAAAAGUACACUGAAUUAGAAACUAAUGUUAGAGAGCAUGGACUAAAAAUAUACUUGUUUCCCAAUUUGGGUUCAACUUAAUAGCCUCCCCAAACUUAUCCACUAAAUAGGGUACCCUAAUCGUAGGGUUCUCAUUCACUCUAUAACAAGUGUGUGCAGACCUAUAGGUCUUGAUCUGCAAAGUGCUUGAAUGUUGCAUCUUACCUGCAUACAUCUCAAAGGGACAAUUGUCAGCUUUGCAUAUGACCCUAAUCUUAUCCUUGUCAGUCCUCGCAAGCACUGGUAUCCACCCUUUUUGAAUUGCUCUUUCUCUAACAAUAGCUCUAAAAAUCUUUAGGGUUGCAAAUUUCAAGCCUAGGCAAAAUUGAGGGUCCAACAUAUCAGUUUUGGGGUUUAACUCAGGGUAAUCAUCAUCAUCUACUUCCCCAUCAGAUCCUAGCUGACCUCCCAAUACACUCCUCGUCAGAGUCAACAGCACCAAACAUUGCUUCAUUAUCUUCAUCGUAUGUCUCAUUCUCACCACCUGCAAUACUGGAUUGUUUUCCAACUCCUCCUAUCCAUUGUCCAAGUGCAUUAAACUCCACCUCCAUAUCACCUAACCAAUCCUCAUCUAAACCAUACUCAACAUAAUCUUCGUUGUCAAACUUGGGGUCAUAAUCCUCAUCUUCUGAACUACUUUCAUACCACAAAUUCUCAGUAUCACUAAGGUAACUUGGCUCAUUGGGGACCCUUGGUCUUAAGUCUCGGUCCAGAGCUUGACACAUGAACAUUGAAAAGCUUGUCUUCCUCAUCAAAUUCAGAAGCAUGUACUUCAUGGAUAAUUUUUCCCUUCCCCUUGUCUUUAGACGCAUUCACUUGAGCUGCACUAGCUUAAGUAGGAACUGAUUUUGGCUCUUUAAUGACAAUUUCAGCUGCCCUCUUUGGUGCCCCGCUAGACUGCCUCCUCGAUGAAUCCGAUAACUCCUCAAUCACAACUCCACUUGAAGCAACUUGACUAAAAGCAAAAUCAUGAUACUCUUCCAUGAAGUCAUCCUCCUCAUCAAUAUCCACAUAAUCUGGUUUCAAACACCAAUGAUCUAAGUAAAUAAUCACUAGCCUAUACUGUGGAACUCCACUACACAUGUUUAUCACAUCCAAAUCUGUCUCAAUUUUUUUCAAAUCCCCACCCUCAGUUCCACACUUAUACCAAUAAUCUAUCCUUUGGCUACCAUACUAUUGAUUCAACCCCCUCAACAUUGAAUCAACUUCAAUAAGUGACAUGUUAUCCUUAUCCACAUUGUCAUAAAAACUUACCUUCCCACAUACAUACUCAUUGCCACUAAAAUAACCUCCAUGAUACAACUUCACUGUAAAGUAAUCUGGGUAACCUACAUAACAAAACAAUCUUAUUUUAUUUGAAAGUUGAAUACAAGAGUAAAAUCAAGAAGAAGAAAGCCAUUAUUUAAUGAAUCCUUAUUUAAUAGUAGAAACCUAAUUAAAACUAGGACAACAAUUCUUAACAGUUUUUUGGACCACUUAAAGUAUUUUAAGAGAAACCACAAACACUGUACUCACACAUGAUGGUGCUGCACCAUUGACAUUCCCAACUUUCAAUUAUGCAAAAGUUGACAAAGCAUCUCAGAGGAAAAAAAAAGAAAAGAAAAAGAAAGCACAACACUCACACCAACGGACUUGCUUUUAUUCACCUACUUUAUUCAUAACCAUAAACACAAGCAAACAACAAACCUAAUAAUUUAUCAUAUCUCAAUCCUUAUUUCAGUUCAAAAUCACUCAUUAUCAGUGACCUUGAAGCUACGAAGACCCCAUUUAGUCUCCCACAAGAAACCCUGCAAUUAUCCCUACAACUGAAACAGAAACUCAACCGAAAAUCCUAAUCCCCAAAACCAGAACCCAAUUAUGUACAAAACCCUAUUCCUUGAAACAAAAACCCUAAUCGAAACCGUCAACCCAUAAUAUAACAUCCAAACUCCAACAAAAACAGUAACAUGAUUGAGAUUGAAAGCUUACGGCUGUAAUCCGGAAGCGCAUCUCCUUCGAAUUCAUCUCGCGGUCUCCAUUCAUCAUCUACCACCACGAGUUACGGGUCUCAAUCCUCAAUCUCCUUUUGAAUCUUCAAUCUUUGUUUUGGGUAUUUCUGUGAAGCCCUUAGAGAAUGAGUUUCUUCUUGUUUUAUCUUUUGGACAAAGAUAUCGGGUUCUAGAUCUAAAAUGGGGAAUUGUGCCUGUGUUAGGGUUAACUGAGAGGGAAAAGAACCGCGUUUUGAGAUUAAGCGAGGGAAAAAAAUCUAUUCAGGGUCAGUCUCGUAAUUUUAACCCUCAACGUUUCAACUUAACGGGCGAGUUGGACGGAACACGAGAGAUGGGGGACGGAAGACGAAAAUUGGAGAGGUUGGGUGGUAAAAAUUCAAAAUUAAGAGUACGGGGGGUGAAAUGAUGCCAACAUCAAACUUCAGGUGAGAAACUGAAAUUAAUUCUUAAUUUUAUCAAUUAGAUCAAGGAUGGUGAAAAUUUUGGGACAGACAAAAACAAAACAAAAAAAAGAAGAAAAAAAAAGUCUCUAGCUUACGCUCUUGCUUCUUGUCGACCAUACAUGUCUUCUUGGCAUGGUUGCAUGCAUGCCUUCCCAAUUGUAGUUAAGGUGAUGAAUAUUGCAUUGAGGAAUGGUCAAGAUGUGAAUGUGUGAUCAUAUUGCUAAUCUCAUUGAGUCAUUGCAAGUUUGCAACACUGCUUGAGCAGUCGUCCAUGUAAAUAUUAAACAAGGGUACGUACGUGGAUCAGUUGGAAUUCCAUUGUUGGCCGCUGGGCAUUCCAUCCCUUCCUUGGCAAAUGUAUCUGCAAUAGAUAACAGGAUAAACUAACCCUAGCUACUCGGUUGCUUGACCUAAUGGGGAAAAUGUGAGCCGUGGUAGCUAAGCUUUGACAUCGUAACCAGCUUAGGCCAUCCACGACUAAAUAAAUGUUCAUCGAAAUGAAUUACAUUGAAGCUCGGAUGACUCGUAACUAAAUGGAUUUCAGCUGAAGGGGCUGAUGAUGGUUGUGGAGAUUAAGAGUCGCUAUUUGGUUGGUUCCGUCCUUCCAGGCCCGGACCUGAGAUUUUCAGGCAUGAGUUGAACUUUUAAAAUUAGGCCCUCAAAGUAUAAUAUUUAUUAAAUUUUAUUUUCUCAUUUUAAGAAACACACAAAAAAUUUCACGAAUUAAAGUUAUAAACUCAAAAUCUAACAACAAAAGACAUUAAAAAUCCUACUAAAAAUCUUAUUUAUGCAACAAAUAUCUUACUUAGGUUGCUCAUUUUUCUAAAAUAGUAAUUAAUUAUAGUAAUAAUGGGUAAGAUUUUAUAUUCAUUUUUCUCUUUUGUAAUCUAACACCACCUUAAUUGGAUUCUGUUAAUUAUUUUUUAUUGUUUUUAACUAAACCAAUGUAAUCACACAAAAGAAAAUAAAAUUUUGGGUCCCUUCAGGUUAUGGGUCCUGAGUCCAUCGACUCUUAAGACUCUAUUCAAGUACGGGUCUGCGUCCUUCCUCGUAGUUCUAAUGGUGUUGCUCAUCACCCAAUUAUUGAAGGCUGUGGGAGUGGGUGUCUCAUAUAAUAUGGUCAGUGGCAUAAUUGAUAGUACUCUACUUCAUGGAUACUCCCUAAAAUUGUUUGUUUAGGGACAUGUAUUGGAUGUAAAGUUGUAAACCCCAAGUGGGAAGUUUCAUAUUGACAAAUAAAUGUAGCUGCCAAAAUGUAUCAAUCUCGAGCAGACGACCACCACAUGGCCAAUCAAGCGUUCCUUCUGAGCUUCUUGUUGGUAUUACGGUAUAUAUGUGAGUGAACAUCUUAGGAGAAAAGCUAAAAGUCUAAAUUGCCGUAGAUCCAAUUAGUGUCGUGCACAGACAAGAACAAAUGCCUGAUUCAUAAACAGAGCUACAGACUUGGGGAAUACUUGAUUUCAUUUCUUCCGGGGAAAAGCCAUCUUUUGAAACUUAUGCUUACCUCAGAAACUGCAGCCGCACAAACCUGCUCCUCAACACCACCAUCAAACUAUGAUAUGCUAGGAAAUUGUCACAUCUCAUAUUACCUAGUGCAAUUUGGGAACCUAUCGUGCUCAAUAAUUAAGACAUGACAGAAUACCUACUCAUGAUGGUUCCAAGUUCCAACUACAUUGGCGUAUGCUCAUUCUUGUUAGCAUGCAAAGAUUCAUCCUGGCUAGUGUUUGAGAGGCUAAUAUAUGUCAAGGAAAGCGGUAGUGGCAAUGAGUCAACAGCUCAAAAAAAGGCUUUGCUCAAAACACUGAUACACUAUUCCCACUAUUCCAGCACAUAAGACUGAAAACAAAAUGGAACAUAUGACGUAAAACCCAAGCGGAGUUUACAUCGCAUUUUACUUCACAUUGACAAAUAUACACGCAGGACUCAUUCAUCAAGUCCUAACUAAUGUAAAAGAUCUAGCGCGUAAUGGCAUAUUUGCAUAUCAGAAUCUCACCAUCACAACCACCCCCACCCCCCUCUUCUUGUGUAUCAAUCUCUUGAUUCCUAGCCUAGUCCGCUGUCUCCCGUGUGUAUUUGAGCAUAUGACAGCCUUGCAGCCUUUGCCAGAUGGAGAUAAAGGCCAAGUUGAAUGUCCCCAGAAAUCCACGGCUGAUGGCUUAACCAUUGGAUAGGAAUGUUGUCUCUCCAAAUUUAUUGUUCAACUUGUAAGUUAAGCAACGAUUUCAGUAGGAAUGUAUCACCUCAGCAAAAAACGAGGGAAACCUGUGGCUGGAGUGUUUCGCCUUUACUAUUUUUGCAAAAUCAUACUGUUCACUUUCUCCUGCUGUAAUAAACUCCGGCUCCAGAAUAGCUACUAUGAUAUCGACGUGGUCCACCUCUGCCACUAGUUCCUUCCCAGGUGCCGCCACGACCGCCAAAUCUAUUGCCCCCACUCUGCGCAUAGUUCAAAGUUUGGUUCCCUAAUCCAUUAAGUUCCUCCUCUUCUCUAUCAUUAUAUUCCAAGACCAGCCUCUUGAUGUCUUGUUUCUCUUCAAGCUCUGCUGCUUCUUUCUGUUUCGUGCUCUGUACAAGUGAGCAAUCCCGAGGGAUGGACAUCUGCUUUGUCUGUUGCUUGUUACCGCGCUUCACAAGAACUUUGACUUGGACCUCCUUGCUUCCUCCAGACUCUUCAUCCCCAUCAUCACCACUGUCCCCUCCGACACGUCCAUGAUGAUCCUUGAUGGACCCCUCAAACAAGUUCAUCGGUAUCAUCAUAUUCAAAGUAGGCCGACCUCGCAGCUCUUGCCUUCGUUGUUCCAUGCUUUCCUGCAUUCAAAAAUUUAUAUGAUGGGUAAAAAACAAAAGAUGUGCUUAAUUGUAACCCUUCAGCAUCGGAAAAUUAUGAAAAAUAUUACUAGCAUACCAACCAUGGAUGGUAUGAAUGUAAGAGUCAGAGACCAUAAUUCCAUUCAUUCAGAAUGCUGAUAAGCAUCACAUGAUAAAUAGAAGUAUUGUGUAGAUGAGGACGCAGCAAGAGCAUACAAAAAUAAUCUAAAUCUGACCUGCAUUACAGCCUUGAGAUCCAGCUCAAAAUCUGCUUCUUCCUGAGGAUCUACCUCUGCAACCUUCUGUCUCACAUGGACUUCAUCGUCCUCAUCGGAAGCAGGUCCACCCCCAUCAUCAUCGUCGUCCUCACUCUCUGAUCCAUCAUCAUGAUUCUCUUCAUCCAAUUCUUCUUCAUGCCUGUCUGGAUCAACAGUGCCACUUCCUGAAUCACUGUCACUAUCUCUAUGGUCUUCAUGGACCACACCAUUUUCCUCUGUACCAUUCACAACACUCUGUCCAUUCACUGUCGUUUUAUUGGGGGUAGUUCUCCUUGAAGACUUUUCAGUGUCCGAGUGCUUCUCAUUAUUUGCCUUGUCAGUAGAGACAGUACGCUCAUGUUCCUCAAGUUCUACUAGAGCCGCAUUAACUUCUUCAAGGGAUGAGUAUCGAGUCAUGUUGGGACGCAAUUCUGCAAAUAAGUCCUGCAAGUGCUCAACUAAAUGAGCUUUUUUCCAGUAAAUAGGACAGUAACAACACAAAUGAGAGUAAUAUGCUCAGGACACAAUAUCUCAAAUAAAGCUACACAAAAGGAAAGGUGGUGGGGGGGGGGGGGGGGGGAUUCACUUUGGAUUCCUAAAUUAUUCUUCACUUUUCAUUAGCAAUACAAACUAGUGGCAAUUAUUCUAUGCUUGCAUGCCUCGAGUGGUAGAGGGGGAGAAUGAUGGUGUUUGAAUCGAGCAGCAGGACUGACCUGUAAGUCAAACUCAACAUCUAGUGGUAGUACACCUUUGCUUAGUAUAUAUCUCUGGAAGUGAAUCAAGAAGCGAUCAAGUUUCCUCUUAGAAGAGCCUCGGUCAAAGUAAUGUCCACAAGUUUCAAGAAGAGUAAUAACCAUCCUCAUGCGGAAACAAUCUUCUGGUGGAUCUAGUGCGUCUUGCUGGUAACAAAGAAUAGAAAAUAUGACCAUGUAAGAAGACUCAUAUAUCUAAAUGAUAAAAUCAAACUCCACCAAACAAAACAAAUGAUAAAGCCAUCCGUAUGUAUGCAAUUUAAAGUGGCACGGAUCCGUUUGAUGAAGUAUGCGCAUUUCUGAAAAGAAAAUCAGUACAAGACACUUUGCCAGCAUUUGUUGCACCUCGAAAACCAACUGCUUUAGUGUUCAUGUCAAUCAAAAGCCCACACUACUAGGCUUGCAAAUUGAUUGUAAGCAUGUGAAAAAUUCUGGUUCUACCUAAGUUUGAACUUUGUACCAUCACAACCAGAUGUGUAUCAAAGAAAGAAGAGAUGGAUAUGAAACACAAAAAGUUACAUACUUGAGAAUACUUAAGUGUAACAAGCAAUGUAGGGUCCUUGUAGGAAAUUCAUUUUCGAGGCCCAUCAUUUCAGCUCUUUUAUCCACUCACACUCCAUCAAUUAAACUACAAACCCAUAUAUAUAAGCACCAAUUCAAAAACCCAAUAAUGAACAAGAGAACGCAGCGAUCUCAAUUACAAACCCUCCAAGCAACAAAAGCUCAGAUGGACUCCAACAUGGGCUUGGCCUCUCGAGCAGGUGGUGUAAAUUAUAUUUGGUAAGAAAGCAGAGGGCUGGGUUUGUAAUCAGCAGUCGCAAAUACAAAUUUGCUAUUCCAACAAUUAAAAAACCACAUUACACCAUUGAUGACUCAGAACAUCAUUUUCUCUAUAUAUGAGUGCUUACCCCAUUGACAAAUAAAUAACAUUGGUUCAUUCACUUGUUUGCCUUUUAAUUAAGUUUUAACAUGGGAACAAUGUAAGAUACAACUAUGUUAUAAAUAUGCAUUGCAUACACCUCCACUUUUAAUAUAUAGUCAUCAAAAUUAUACUUUAACAUGGCAACAAUGUGAGAUAGCAGUCAUAGCACUAGCUAUGUUCUAUAUAUGCAUUGCAUACACCUCCACUUUUAAUAUAUAGUCAUCAAAAGAAGACUCCCUAGAGUAUUAUUGGCUUGAUAACUUUAAGAAAAUAAAAUAAACUGAUAAACAUGUCCAGCGACAUAUGUAGCUGGUGGUUGUAUAUCUCAUGUUCUCGUAUCGAAUCAAAGUUUUCAGACAGUAUGAAAUGAAGAUAAAUAAAUAAAUAAACAACGUUUUUCAUGCCUAAAGAAAGCCUAAUCCCAUGAUUUGCCAGCAGAGCGUAGGCAAUAAUUCACAAGUGCUAUUCAAAGAUAUCAGAAUGGAAACACACAGAACUUUACCUCUGUUGUGCCAUGGCCAAAUAUGAGAAUCAAGUAUAGAGUCUCAAAUAUAACAGAAGAAUCAACAUGUUCAUAGUUGUAGAGCUCUCCUAGGAAUCGCAUAUGGGCAAUUCGUCUUUGCUGCAUUCCAUACUCAUUUAACUCUAGGCCAAGUCUGAUCUCCUCUAAAACCUGAAAGUAGUAAAGAUAUAACUUUGAAAAUCUCGCUCAAAAGCAGAAGUCUUCCAUCUUGCCAAAAAUACACACCUAGCUCUGAGAGGAUAAUUAUUGUUAACUUUUAUAGUCUUGGUGUUGGGGAAUAGGGUUUGCUAUGAGCUUACCAGUUUAUAUCUAUAUAAUGUUACCCACAACUCCACAAACACUCGUCCUUUUAGCAGUAACUAUUAAUAACUGAAUGUAAUGUGGAACCCAAAUCGUAAGAGUUGCCAAAUUUACAGCAUAUGACUUGCUCCUAGAUUGAAUUCAUUCCUUUUCGGAAGCUCACCACACUCCAUCAUAAAUAAUAUAAUAAAUGCAGUAUAUUGUAGACACCAAAGGAAAAUUAUUAAAGACCAUAUCAUUUUCACUGAACCCAAUGGUAUGUGUAAAGGGUAUCCAACUCCCUAAACCUCCUCCCCCAACUUUGGAUCUCUGGCUUUAGUCAAAUUUAACUAAUGUACUUUACAAUAAUGGAAGUAUACUUUACAAUAGAUAAUAAAAAUGCAACAAAAAAUAAAUUGGAUGAAGAAAUAACCUCGUCAACAACAGAAACAGCAAAUUCAUCAUGAUAGCGACUCAGGCCAGCAGUGAGAGAAGCAAUCAAAUGGAUCUGACCAUACUUCCCUUUGUGAACCUUCAAAAAGCAUUUCAAAAGAUAUGGCUCACAUUCACCCCAUGGUAGUUUACGCAGUUGCCUCAGCACAUGCUCAAGGGUGGAUUUAUCCAGAUCUGAGAAUAGCAACUUUCUUAUAUACUGAAAAUGGAAAUAAAUAAGUAAAAAAGAGUUAAUUCAGACAGUGAAUAAUAUAAACAACAACAAAAAAUCAGAGAAUUGACCAUAAAAAAGAUUUACACCUGAUGCAAUGGAGGACGGACUUUAGCAACUCGUGCAGAUCUCUCAGGCGGUUUGCACAGGUAGUAAGCAUUUUCAACAAGAGUGCUGUGCCGAGGAUCCAAAUUUUUUACAUUCUUUAAGCGCAUUAAUAUUUCCAACAUGUUAGCCAUCCUCACAGUAGUUUCAGGAGACCGAUACAGAAAACGCCCACAGGUCUCAAGAAGAUUGCAAGCAACAUCAAUAUUAUGAUGAGAGAAAUCAUCCAGACAAGCCUGGCAAGAAGACGGGAUCAAUUAAUGCAAACAGCUCACAAGCUAAAUGCCUCAAUGGAAGUGAAAGAUAUGAUCUAAACUAUCACGAAAGCAGAGAUAGUAAGACAAAAAUGCAUAAUUUACUAGAAUUAUGUGCAUUACCUUCAAACAACUAAACACAAGGCCAGCUGGCGCAAUUCUGAACUUGCAAAGCUCUCCAAUAAAUCUAAUAUUCCUAAUCUUUGUUUCAAUAUUCAUUUGAUCCUGCACAGAAUUACAAUUCAAUAUCAAGAUAAUGAACAUAUCAAACUGAAAUAUGAGAAUAAAAAUAAUAAUAAACAAAUAUUUUAGAAAAAAAAAAAAAAAAACCUUAAGCAUGAAAAACUUACCUUCUUAUUAAUUAAGAAAUUGAACUCCUCCUCCAACAUAGCCAGGAGCAUGGAUGAUACAUCCUUCAUACAAGUUGACAGAGUGGCGACCAUGCGUGAGUAAUACGGCAGUAGCUCCAAUGAUGUCCUGGGGACAUUAAACACUGCCCUCACAAGCUUUUUCCGAUUUGCUUUAGAAUUUAGAUAACAAAACUCCACCUGAAGACAUUCAAAACAAUAUCUUCAUUACAAAUCAUAACAGACCAUAUGAUGUGGGAAGAGAGAGAGAGAGAGAGAGAGAGAGAGAGUUGAAUAGUAAAGGUCAGUCAGAGAUAUAAUUACAGUUAAUUGGUCGAUGAGAUCACGGCUCACACAACCUGGGAGCCUUUGUAGUAAAGCGUCCAAAUUCGUGCCUUCAAUACUUUUUAGUUUCUCCUUCUCAUUUUCUCCCUUCCUGUCACCUUUCUCUUUGUCAGCAUCUUUACUCUUGUCUUUUUCUUUUUCUUUUUCUUCCUUAUCCUUUCCUUUCUCUCUGAUUUUUCCUUCCUGUAAAGCACCAACUUCUGCAGAAGGUUCUGCAGCCUCUUCUGUAGCCUGUUGAUUCUGAUCUGAUUCAGCCGCAGGUUCCUUAAAGAUGAUUAUAUCAGAUAAUGUUCAUCUGAGAGAGAUUUGUACGAGUCUAAAACAAGACAGACAACACAAGAGUAACAUGGCUCUUAUUGUUGCAAAGAAAUCAUAGUUCACAUCGUAUAUGCUAUCCACAGACAAAAUAACUGCAAACUGGCCAUGUACCCCAAACAAUAAUACAUAGAUUAUCAAAGAACAAGGUCAUUAUCAUCAGCAGAGCCACACUUUUUCGUUCUUUUUUUCUUUUUCUUUUUAUUUUCUCAUGACAGACGAUAUUAUGAAAAGUGAAAACAGAAGAUAAACAAGGAGAGAAAUGACACCAUAGCGUAAAACGAAAUUGGUGACAUACAGAAUUCGUGAAAAGUGAUACCAAGAACAAGAUUUCAUUCACAAAUUAUCAUGUUGAAGUCUCUAGAAUCAACAGCUGGGCAAUCAAAUAAAUGGAAAGAGAUACGAGUUGACGAACCAAUGUACUCACGAAAGGAGUAUUUCCCACUAUUUGCGCGUGCUAAACAAUUAUUAAUUUAUCAUGUGGCAGCCAUAACAUGAAAUUGUACAGUAUCCUUAAAUUGUACAGCCAGUAAAGAAUGCAAGAUAAGUUCCUUACAGUUGGUUGCUCUUGGGUCUUUGCAGAUUGCUCAUUGACUUUUGACUCUGCUUCUCCAAGUAACACAGCUGGAACAAAUGCUCUGAAAAGAACAUAAAAACAUCUUACUAUAACUCAAGUAAAUCACUAAAGUUUAAGGAACCACCAUCCAACUCACUGAUGAACUAAAACAAUUAUAAUCGUAUCGUACUAAAGGGCGUUCUUCUUUCUCUUUUUUGACGAGUGUAAGACAAAUAACAUCCAACUGAGACAGACCUAAGAUCUGGCAAACAUUCAUAGAAAGCCCUAGUAUCUUCAUCGUCCCAUAUGGCUUCAAGUGCAGAAGAAUCCUUUCCAGCAGCUGGAGAUGAAGCAUCCUCUCCGCUAGUAACCCUAGUUGUGUGACCAUCCUCUGGCAUUACUGGAGGCUGCAUAUCAAGUGCUUCUGCUAAACUGUGGAAAAAAAGUAACUGAAGCAUAAGUAUAACCAAGAAAAGUAAAUAGCGAAAGUAAUCAGUGACAUAUUUUAGGAGCUGGAAGGCUUAGAAAAUUUGAUCAAAAGUAACAGGGACAAUACCACAGAUGAUGUUGUUUAAUAGUAAUUUGGGGCUAUUGAUUUCAUGUUGAAGAAAUCAUGUUUAGGAGGUAAAACCCAGAUCUUAUUGGAUUCGUUUCUUUUCUUUCUUCAGCUGUUGUUUUCAUAGGAUGUACACUCCAAAUACUUUUCCGGGUUUUGAUUACCAUAGCUACCCCGAGACGCUUUUCCAGUAAUUUCAUAGAUUUAAUUUAUAAUCCAAUACAUGAACAAAGGUGCAUCCCCUUCCUUGUGAGUUCCUUCUGGUGCAUUACAUGAAAUCUUAGUGUACAGUUAUCAGUAACUGCUGAUCAUGCUAAGAUCUACAACAUAUGCCUCAAUCUACCAAUUCAAAAAGAACUAAAAAUUUCUGCAUGUGAGAAUCACAAGACUAGUAUACUGAAUUAGCCAACAGAACAGCUUGAGGCAGUAUCUAGUCCAUCUAGUUUGUUUUAGUCGAUAUUUAUGGUAGACAGCUAUGCGGUUUUGGCUUAUGACAUCCCCAUGAAACAAUGACAAUAGAGGUUAUAGAGAAACUUGAACUCCUUCAGAGAUUGAUAAUACUCAUGACAUAAGGUCAGUAGUGAUAAACAUAUUUUAACUCGUUAAAUUAACUUACAUGGAGAAAGCACUAAAUUGAAAGGAUACUAGAUAUCACAUGACUAAAGUUUUUAAAAAUUAAAAGGUGUAAUGUAAAGUAGACAACUAGAAUGUAACAAGAAAACUGAAAUAAUUAAUAACUAUCACUGACAAACACAGUCACAGCGGAAUAGUGACAUAUAAUGAGAUAAAAUUGUAAAACCACUUACGUUGAGACAUUGCGGUACAAAUGGUCAUAAGAUUUCCGCAACUUUUCAUAUGAAGAAGCACUAUCAUCACUGAGCUCUCCUUUAGCGUUAAUGAUUCUUGCAUUUUCAUGCUCCAUUUGGCGAAGUGACUAACAAUUUCAGGAAAAUUUUAUUAAUUGUGACAGCAUUGCACCAACAAGAUACAGACUAUAGAAUUGUUAGAUGCAUAAAAACACCCCAAAAAAUAAUAAUAAACACAUGUAUCAUAAUAAAAAGAGGCAAAAUUCUUACAUUAUGCUCAGAUUGAAGAAGUUCUGCUGCAGCUUCAUAAUAAGUUUGAAAUGCCUUCUUAAAGAACUUCUUUUGAUCCGGUGUGAUAUUAAGGCCCUUAAAAAACUGUGGCAAUCAGAAGAUACGAUAGGAUAGAAAAAGCAGCAGUUAAUAUUGGCACUGAUUGAAAAUAAACAUAAGCUUAUGAUCAUAUACAAGACUUCCAUGAACAUGAAGACACCAAAUCAGAGGAAAAUAAAAAAUAAAAAUAAAAAUAAAAAUAAAUCAGGACAAAAAAAGGGUUAUAAAUUGAUCAUAUCGUGAGCUAAAUGACAGUGCGAUACCAUAACUAAAUAUUAACUAAUAGCCAGAGCAUACAAAACAAUAUUGAAAUAUGUGACAUACUAAAUAAUGAAAUAUACCUCUUCAUAUAUUUCUGGCCCAGAGAGUGGAAGACCAAGAAACAUUCUUCCCUGCCGAGCAAAACUAGCAAGAAGAGUCAAAUUUGUCUGAGUAGUUUCCCGGUCCUUUAAGUGAUCUCCACUGGUAAGGUCUUUGAUAACAUUCACAAAAAUACCACCGUCUUCUAUAACUCCAACAAAGAAAAGUUCCAAAAGGAGUUUCAAAGUGCUACGCUUCUUCAUGGCCCUCAGGCUCCUAUCUGCAUCUGGGUCAUCCCCAGACUUUCCAGGAAAGAACACCUUCAAAAGACCUUGAACAAGGGUUGGGGAGAAAUCUUUGUAUCUUUGAUGAAGCAGAGAGCAGAUCUGUGAAAAUAUACUAGUGUUAGAAAAGUGUAAAAUGAAAUCUAUGUAUAAUGUUGAUGCAGCAAUUUCAUUUAUGCACCAGAAAUAGAGAGGAAACUUUGCAUAGCACUCCAACAAAUAAGACCCAUUUAACAAAUAACACUACAAAAAAUAUUGUAAUGCAAGACCCAUACACUUCACCUUUUGCUAAGUUAAAAACAUUACCAUUCUUUCCAAUCGAGGCGUGUCACGAGACAUCCUAAUAUGAGAGAACUUUAUUUCCAGAAAUAAUAAGGGAUAAAUACUAAUACCAAGGUCUAAACAAAACAAGAAGCAGGAACAUUGGAACCACGACCAAUAACUGUGUUCAAAUUGUUUGCAUUGUGAGGCAACUUCAAUUUAAGCCCCAAAAACUGGACAUAAAAAAGUGAUGAGAAACGUAAUUCUCCAUUUCAGCAUUAUUAGCAACUAGAAUUCGACUAGUAUGUUAAUUGUACAGCACAUUGUCUCAGCGAGUUUCUGUUUACUCUUAUUUACGAUCAGAAAAUCUAGAGCAUUUUGGAACCCACAAAGACAGAAUUAUGUGUGGUUCAACUGACUCUAAUGUACAAUGUGAACGUAAUCAUUUUGUUCUCAAGCAAAUUCAAAUGUAUAAAAGUAUUAAACAACAGUUUUGGAAUCAUUUCCUGAACGAAAGUCAGACUAAUAUGUUGUCAAGUAUAAACAAUAAUAAAUUUCUCAAACACAAAUACUAAUAGGAGCAUAGAAAAGGAAGAAAAUCAGAGUAGUAAAUGCAUUUGAAAAUCAUACUUGAACUGCUGCUUGUAUGUCGGACGAUCUAAGUUUGGCAUCACAAAUCGCAGUAACAGCUUCACUAACAAAUUUGCUAAGAUUGACACUCCUCAAGUCGUCCAUCAGCCCUUCUCGCUGCUCCUCAUUUAUCUGCUUUAGUUUUUUAAUAACUGCUGUGUUGCGUUUAAUACUGGAAUCCAAUGUCCUCAGAAAUCCCGAGUCUGGAAGUCAGAAGAAACAAUCUUAGUUUCCAUCACGUAAAUUACUACCAAUUGCUUAAUAGAUUAGAAGAUCAUUUAAACGGACACAAACAUAGUUCCCCCGAAAAGUAUGAUUAACACAAGAAUAGUGCAAUAUGAUUUGCUGACUCACCAGGCCUCUCAGGGUUCAAAUUGCUUUGACGAAGAGCCAUCUUCGACUCGAUUGAUUUCUUCAUUUCCUCAAGCCGAGCAACAGCUUCCUAAAAACAAAAACAAAACAAAUUACGAAAUUCAAUUAUAAACAGACACGAGCUAAACCCUAAAAAGUGUGACAGAGUCGUAUACACGUACCUCAUCAUCUUGCUUCCCAUGAGGCUCAGCUCCGGCGCCACCACCGGAUUCCUCCUCAUUGUGAUCCAUCUCACUAUUCGUAUUCACUGACAUACACACACACCUUCACAACACAACACAAACAAACGCACUCUACUGUAAGCCAAUCCCACACAAAACCAAAACGUAACAAAACCAUUCUACUCUCCUCACGCUUAUAAAAAUUGAAAGAAAAAUCAAUUCGUAUCACCAAAUUGAUAUUCUCAUAUAAAGACCUAGACGCCUUACCCAACCAGAGCAAGAACAUCAAUACUGAAUUGAAUCGAAAGAGAGAGGUAUAAGCAUAACCGUACCUUUGUCCCCGCCCAAGAAGUUUCUGGAUCGAAGAUGGUGUUUGGAUCUGACUCUGUUUGUUUCAAGAAGAAGAACGAACAAGUCGGACAAGAGAGGAGAACGAAUACGUUUUUUCAAUAGUGAUCCGUCUGAGUGAAGGCAUAGGGAAGAAGAUAAGAAAGUGAAAUUCCUACCCAUUACUUUAUGUAUUUUACUGUCCUUAAUUUCCCUUUUCGUUUUUACGAUACAAGUACUUGAUUAUUUUUUUUUUUUUUUUUUUUUCCUGUGUGUAAAUGUUACAAAUAAGCGAUGUCCAAUAAAUACCACGAUUUUUUUUUUUUGAAUACGGGUUGGGAUACCCGUCAGGUAGUAUUACCCAUAUUAUUAUCAAAGAGAAAGAUCAUACAUUGAGGGAGUCAUAUUACCUAAACCUCGUGAAAUAUUACAAUCAUCUUCUAUAAAAACAUCCUGAAUUAUAUGAUGAGUUUCAUUUUCCCAAAACACAUCUAAAGGCAAUGAUGAUCGCAAUGUCUUUUACUUCCAUUAGCUGCAAACAUAUAUUUAGAGAGGUGAACUUCGUGGCAGAUGCAAUUACUCAUGAAGGUCAUCUUCUUCCAAAUGGGCAUACUUAGAUGGGUAGCUGCACAUUGGCUGCUACUAUAGCUCUUUUAUUUGAUGAUGUAAACUCGGGUUGUCCGAGAAAGUUUUUCUUUUAGUGUUUGUUUGUUUCUUAUAAAAAAAUUAAAAAAAGAUUAUCUAGCAAGGUGCGUUGAUCUAUUUGCAACACUGUUUGCUUCAAGAUAUAUGGGACGAAGGCUAAUGAAACUGAAAGUCAUCAUAUAAUAGAGAAAAUCAGUUAAAAAUAGAACUAACCUUGAUCACACCUCCGGUUACAGUAGCUAAGGCCUUAAUUAUGGUAGCACAGUGGUUUUCGAUUUCCACUUCACUCCAUCCCUAAUGGAUUGCAAUAAGCAGACUAGCACGUAGUGCCUUUGCCUCCAUGUGAAUUGUUGAACUAGCAUACGACACAUGACGAGAGAGGGUUGCUACACGCCUACACAAUUACCAUGUUCAUUUCUGGCCAGCACUCCAAUUCCACCUAUCCUUCUAUCUUCCAAAAACGCACCACUAUGUUCAAUUUGAGCCUAUGUUCAAUUUGAGCCGACCGCUUGGGGGGCAGCUCUACCGAGCUCUAGGCCUCUUCAUCUUCAUUGUUGGCUUGGUGUGCACUUUCUUAUAAUCUUCCAACUGCAUUGCCCAAAUACAUAUUACAAGGAUUACAAUUCCCAUCUUUCCACAACAUGGUAUUUUGUUCUGUCCAUACUGCCCAAAGUGACAUAAAGAACAUUUCAUGGCUGAGAUUAAUGUGCAGUAAUAAUUGCCAUGAUUAAUAUGAAUAAGAAUUUAAGUACCUCUCUCUACAAAGAAUUAGGGUUGAGAAGUGCAAGUGAUACUGAGUCUUUCUACCGCUUGAGCUAUUCCCUUGCGCAUGAAGUGGUGACUAAAAGAAGUGGAUGGGGGUGGUGGUGUGGGUUUUUCGAACAAUGUGGUUAUGUAGCAUAGGAGGCGCUGGUGGAUCUAACAAGGCACAUGGCCAGUGAAGAUAUAGAAGAUCAUAACGUGGUCUAGGUUGCAAGAUCCUAAAUAGAUUGUCAAUCAUAAAUUCUGAUCGGUAUGUUUUUCACAAAGAAACCUUUUUUUUAAGCAAUUGAGAAAUACUAUACGUCGGCUUUGGGCAUUGAAGGAGGAAGUAACCAUCUUUCGAUGGAUGAUUCAGACAAAAUUUUGUUUCCUUUUGGUCUGAAUGCCGACAGGGGAAGGGCACUGAUCGGGUUUGACUUUUGACCAUGUCAUUGUAUUGCUUUAUGCGUCAAAUGGAAUGGUGAACCCAAGUUUCAUUACACUCAAUUUAUAGGCCUUUUCGAUUCAAGUGCGGGGUGUUCAACUAGCUAAUUUGACGCCUAAAUUCGCAUCAGAUGUAGGGAAACAAUUAGAGGUGUAUUAUCCGGUUGGGAGUGGUUUUGAAGAGGAUGGAAGUGGGCGUUUUAUUUGUCUCCGGGUUGGUUUGGAGAUAUCCAAACCGUUGCAUCAGUGGACUUCAAUAUCAGUUGGUCUAGGUUUACCGCCAAAAAAGUUUCAAUUACAAUAUGAACACCUCCAUCAAUUAUGCAUUUACUAUGAGUGUCUAGAUCAUAUCAGUUCUUGUUGUGCACUACAUAAGAAUGGUUAAUCACGACAAAGAGAUAUGGAAGAGGGAAGACUCUCUCCAAAGAUGUUUACUCAAUUGAUCUGGAUGGACAAUUACAAGGUCGAAGAUUUGGUUUAUUCCCUAAGCCGAAAUUAAGGACGGUCUUUGACUCUUUGAGUGCUCUAGAGGAGAGAGUGGCCAUAACAGUUUGUUCAAGGUGAGAAUUUGAGAAGACAUGUGGCAAGAAUGCGACAAAUAUGGAAGCAGAUGGGGAGGAAGAGGGAAACCUGGACAUUUUGACGGUAAAACGCCGGCGGAAGCUCAGUGUUGUCGUGGACUCUCAGUUUUGUUCGUAUUAUUUGGUCAAUAUAUUAAGGCUUAGUUUGGUAUUGUGGUUUAAAAACUCAAUUUUAAAUAAGCAACUCCCAACUUGCUUUCUAAAAUCAUGGUUAUUUAAACUAAAAAGUUCUAGAUAAACACGUUUUAAGAUUUUAUCAAAUAGAAAAUCUAUCUAAAAUGGUAAUUAUAAGUGGUUUUAAUUCAACUUUGCAAAUGGGCGGGUUGGCGGUUAGCGGGCGAGCCAUGGCAGGUUAGCGGGUUCAACGUGUUUAACUCGCUAUAACCCGUUAGCUUAACAUGUUAUGGCAGGUCGAACCUGUUGGGUUUGCGGGUUACCCAUUGGAACCCGCUAAUGCGUUUUUCCCUUCUUCUUUUUUUGCCUUUUUUUUAUUUUUAAUAUUUCUUCUUCUAAUCAAAACCCAAUAUUUUUUUUGUUAAAUUUUGUUUGUUAAUUUAUUAAAAUAUGAUUGAAUAUUUUUGUUAAUUUUUCAAUUUUUUAUAUUCUUUAGCGGGCCUUGACAGGUUAAAUGGGUUCCAACGUGCAACCCGUUUCCGCCCAUUAACUGACGGGUUGUUAACGGGUUGACAGCCCAUUAACAUGUUACGUGAUUGGACGGGUUUUUAGCGAGCGGUUAGCAGAUAACGGGUAACGAGUUGAAUUAUCAGGUGAAUUUUAAUCCUUAAAACUCAAUAGAGUGCGGUUAUUGGGACCUCCAGAUUUGCUCAUUGUACCUUCCUGUCUCUUUACACCUCCUUUUUAUUUUUAAAAACAAACAUUUGCUCAUUAGACCUCCUUUCAAUUUCAAUAAUUUACUCAUUAUACCUCUUAUUCGCUCUCUAGACCUUCCACACUUUAAUUUUUUUCUUUUUGCAUGAAAACUUCUAUUUCAGACCUCGAUUGCUUGAUUUCUUUUUUCUUCUUCUCUUUUUUCAUGAAAACCUCUUUUGCAACCUCAAUUCCUUGUAGUUGUUGUUGGUUUUUUUUUUUUUUUUCAUAGAAUAUCAUUAACCUAUAUUAUUUGAUCAAGUUGUAAGAACGAUUUUUCAAUGACAACAAUUUAAAAAAAUUUAAAUCAUGAAUUGUUUUCACAAUCAAUUGCAAAGCAGCAAAGUGGUGUUUGUGACCGAAUGUAUAGUAAGUUAGUAACUACAAAAGUAAGAAAAUAGGUAUACAUGAAGCAAAUUUGAUGAAAUAUUAAAGCAAGCUCUUUCUCUUGUAGAAUGACGAUGACCUAUUCAAAUUAAUGUUUCCAAAAAAAGUGAAAAACCCAGAAACCUUUGACCUAGAAGAAAACCCUAAGAAGGCCAAUUGCGUCUUCAUCAAUGGAGAUUCUUCCAUUUGGUGUAGUAGUUCUUUGCGAUUGAGCAACGGUUGCACUUAAGUUUAGGGUUUAUAGAUUUUUCACAUUUUGUAUCGUUAACUUGAAGAAAAAAAAAUGAAGAAUACUAAUCUAAUUACAAUUUUUUUUUUGUGAAAUUCAAUGUCUAUUAUUGUUAUUUUGUAUGAGGUUAUAUUUGUAAUCUAAUAAGUCAAAACAUAUGAAGAUACACUGAGCAAAUCUGAAGGUUCCAAUAACCGCACUCAACUCCGUAUCACUGAGCCUAAAUCAAAAUUUCGGCUUAGUGAAGGCACAUGGGCCACCAAAUGACUAGGUAAAACUUUUUUUUUUUUUUUUUUUAACGCACUAGGAAAUCUCUUCUGGGUUUAUGGCUUUAUUAAUAGAGAUAGAGAUUUAUAAGAACCCAAUCUGCAAUCCACGCACAGCAAAACCCCCCAAUUCGAUUCUCUGCAGAUUUUAGGGUUUAGCGAAAUUCGAAAACCCCUCAGAAUCUCGCAAUGGCUCGUAACGAAGAGAAAGCGCAGUCGAUGCUGAAUCGCUUCAUCACCCUGAAGAACGAAGAGAAGAAGAAGCCCCGCGAGCGCCGCCCUUUCCUCGCCUCCGAAUGCCGCGACCUCGCCGAGGCCUCCAAGUGGCGCCAGCAGAUCAUGGGAGAGAUCGGCCGCAAAGUCGCCGAGAUCCAAAACGAAGGCCUCGGCGAGCACCGCCUCCGCGACCUCAACGACGAGAUCAACAAGCUCAUAAGGGAGAAGUCUCACUGGGAGCGCCGCAUCGUCGAGCUCGGCGGCCCUAAUUACGCCAAGCACGCCCCGAAGAUGACCGAUCUCGACGGCAACAUCGUCGACGUUCCAAACCCUAGCGGCCGCGGCGCUGGUUAUCGGUACUUUGGUGCGGCGAAGAAGCUUCCCGGUGUGAGGGAGCUUUUCGAGAAGCCGCCGGAGCUGAGGAAGCGGCGGACGAGGUAUGAUAUAUACAAGAGGAUUGAUGCGAGCUAUUAUGGAUAUAGGGACGAUGAGGAUGGGGUUUUGGAGAAGCUGGAGGUUGUGGCGGAGGAGAAGAUGAGGGCCGAGGCGGUGGCGGAGUGGUGGAGGUUGGAGGAGAUUAGGAGAGAGGCCAAGAGAGCGGUGAAGAGUGGCGAAGUGGUGACGGUGGCGAAGGCUAAGGAGAUUCUGGUGGAGGAGGAGGAGGAGGUGGUGGAGGAAGAGAGGCAGAGAGAGAGGGAGUUGUUGAAAGAGAAGAGUGAGAAAGAGAUGGAGUUUGUGGCUCACGUGCCGCUGCCCGACGAUAAGGAGAUUGAGAAGAUGGUGCUUGAGAAGAAGAAGAAGGACUUGCUGAGUAGGUAUGUCAGUGAGGAACUGCUGCAGGGCCAGACUGAGGCUAAGCAGAUGCUUAACAUUAAGCGGUAGCUCCCUGAAAGACAGGGUAUGACAUUCUCUGGUUUAUUUGACUAGCUUCUAAGCAUUGAUAUAUGUCCUUUAAGGAAUGUUUAACAUGGAUGUUUGCUAUAGUUCGACUGGUUCGUUGGGUCUGUCAUAUCUGUUGAGAGUUUGUUGAACUUGGCAGUUAGUGGUUCUUGAGGAAUCAAACAGGUCAUAUUCUUUUCAGUUUUCAGUAUCUAAUCUUUGUUUCAGAUUCAUCGUUACUCUGUCUUUGUUAUUGGCUUUACGAUCUGAUAAUUUGCAAAUCAUUUAAUUUCUAACUAAGAUUACAAAACUUAGGUUUUAGUUUGCCGGGCAGCUCAAACUAUACAAAUAGCCAUUGUUAUUUCACAAUAAGCAGAGAUGAUGUUAACUAUUUAUAUUAUGGUUAUGAUUACAGCAAAGUAGGUCUUACUCUGAAUGGAUUCUAGAUUAACAGAUAUGAAAAGUGUGUGCAUGCGUGCUUUUUCUUUGUUUUCACUUCUGUCCCCAACCCAACUCCUUAUUUGGUGUGAAAUGUUUGAUUUGGAUCAGCAACCUGUCUUUCUUACAUCCUGCUUGCAGUGAUUACAGCAAUCCCAGUAUUAGCCCCUCUCCCCACCCUGACCGCUUAGUCAGGGCCACAGAGAAGUCCUAUUCAUAUUUGGUAUUCUAAUUUUGCAAAGCAAUUCGUCUUUCCCUGCACUAAGCGGUCCAUCCCAUACUUCACCUGUUAUCAUAGGUCAGUCUGCAAGUUUGUUUGAAGUCUUGCUGCUCUCCCUGAAUUGUUGGUAAUCUUACAUAUGUUGUCUUGUUGAUGAGAUCAGAUGUAAAUUUACUUCUAGGCUAGCUGAUAUACAUUAUGAACUUGUCUUAAUUAGUAGCAUAAAGCAAUUCCUCCACGAUUCACCACAAGUUGGUCGAUUACUCGAGUACGUGCUGUGACCUCCACAUUCUUACUAUCUGUAAAUAAACGCUUCUAUGUUUGUUAAAUAAGACAUGUUUUGCAUGACUAAAAGUAGUUUGUGAAUUGUGUGUUACUUUACGAAGUCAUUGAUAGCAUCCCCUUAAACAGCUGGUAGAUAAAUUUGAAUUAUGACUUUACUAUGUAAGAGUUGUUUUAUAUUCUUGGUUUUGAGAUAUUGGGACACACCCAUGUAUAUAUGACCUUAGCAACUAUGAAUUAAACACAGCCUGUUUUAUUGAUUCGCAACGUUGACAUUCGUCUCCCAAAACAAUUGAGCAUAUUUUGUUUACAUUCCCUGGGACCAAAUGUGCAAGGGCUUGGUUGACAUCUUUUCACCUACCUUGUUCCAUUAGUUUUGAGUACUCUUCUGAUCACAGGAUUCAUCCGUUGGUGUUGUCUCUAUUAGCAAUGGAUAAAGAUGCUCAGCCUUCCCUUGCACAUAUUUUCCUUGUGCUGUAGUAUCAUUGGAGUAUAGUGUUUGUGUCUUUGAUCGCAUCUACCCGUGCCACGUCGUCCAAAGCCUUUGCAGCAGCUCAGGAGUUUUUUUUUUGAAGGGAAAAGGGGGCAGCAGCGCUAGAAAAUUCAUUAAUAAACUCAGGCGAGAAUGACAUCAAAUCACCAUUACAGUAGACAAUUAGUUCACUUAUUCAAGUGAGUUUAGUAGAGGAUUAAACUAGAAACAAAACAAGAUAUCAGAGAACAUAAAACUAGAGCCAAGACGCUCGAUUGCGAUAUUUUAAGUCUUAUAAAUCCAUCUCGUUGCAACCAAUUCGUAGAAUCUGCCAAGCUAUCAAUGUACUAACACUAUUGAAUUUUUGUUUUGCCCUUAAUAUCAGGGCGUGGAGGAGUGUUAGGGCAUAGCACCUUAGAGGUCGGGUUUGGAGGAAUGCCGCCAACAAGUGCACUGAUAUCUGCUUCCUCAUAGACUAGCAGCUCAGGAGUUUCGUCUACUUAGUACCUGAUCUAAAUCACAUGGCAAUCCUUAUGUCGCGCCUUUCCUAGUCCUUUGGUGGCCCAUGCGUCUUCUCUAUUGCACACAUUGGUUUGCAUGAUUCUGUAUUUUAAGAUGAUGUUUACUUGUAGCAAUUUGAAUGGAGAUCCUUGGAAAUUAACUAUGUUAAGUUUGCAGUUCAGUCUGUUGCCUCUUUCUGAAAUGAGCAGUAGAUUUCAUAUACGAUUCUCUUUUUAAGAGGGUGGAAACAUGCUGAUUUGAAGUUUGUUGAAAGGUAUACUUGUUGUUUACAAGUGAAGACUACCAUAAUUUUCUAUAUAGAAGUUCAUCAGACGUGGUGACCAGUACCGGUGUGUCUGAAAAGUAACCUUAGAACAGUGAAUUUCUCAUUUUGUCUCUUCUAUUUGUUUUCUGUCCGCAUCCACCCUUUGACCCUUUUUGUUGGUUGCAACCAAUUUCGUUCUCUUAGUUUUGGUGGCUGAUCAGAGGAGACAGAGAGAGACAGAGGAGGGGGAGAGAAGGGGGAGGGAGUAAUAAUGGUAUAAUCAUGAGGGCUGUCGAAUCCGAUACCAAAUCAAACCCUCCACACAUCUCAACCCCACAAAACCUUCCUUUUCCACCUUAAAGCCACACAAUCCUUCUCUGUUAACAUGCGAAAACGAAGCGAAGUGAAAGGAAGAGAGGCGGUGUGUGGGCUUGAUGCUGCCUUGUUAAUGGAAAAACGUGGUGUUGUGUAGGAAGUUGUGGAAGCACAACCUCAUCCUUACUCUUUUCAUGUCUUGGGUCCUCAGAAAUUGUGUUCACCAGAUUGGAGAAACAGCUUCAGUUGGUAGGUACCCCAUUUUGGUUCUAUGUUGAACUGGUAUGGUAUUAGUGCUUGGUUCAUCGAUUUGAUGGGGUUUUGGAUAAAAUGGAUGAUCUGAGAGCCAAAUUUGAUAUGAUAGGUAUGUUCUUUCACAGUUAUGCAGUCUUGGGUUUUCUUAAUGUUUAAGAGAUUUUGUGAAAGAUGUGAUGGUCAAGAUUUGUCGCAGAUGAGUGUGUUAGAAUUUUUUUAGAAAUUUAGAUAAGAAGGAAUAAGUUUCAGUGUCAAUUUGUUGGUUUGGAUAGAGAAAGAUAUUAAUAUAUCUGAAGCUGGAGAAAAGUAAGCUGAGAGUGAUGCUAUUGGGAACUAGGGUAACAUCUUCCAGUCAUCUUUUACGGUUAGAUAUGAUUGAACUUGGCCUACUGUAUCUAUUCAUUCGAAAUAUAUUGGUUCUCUAGCGUUGUUCAGUGAUCUUUUAUGGUACAGUGUUAGAUAUGAUUGAACUUGGUCUACUAUAUCUGUUGAUUGGAAAUAUAUAGGUUCUCUAGUGUUCUUCAUCUCUGACAUUUUUAUUUUUGCUGCUGUACCACUAACCGAGCCAAAAUGAUUCAGUUCUUGACUUCUUGCUGCCUUGCUAGCUAGCUUAGACAUCUGACUUUUCUGUCAGUCAAUCUGUUUUGAAGUCUGUCUUGCUAAAUCAGUUGACGUUUAUACUUGAAAAUUAGUUGUUGUAUGCCUGAACUGGAGUAAGCCAAUCUUUCUUAGCUUUGUGUAUGGUGUAGAAGAAAAUCUAGCUGUGAUCUUGCAAUUGAAAUUUGAUAGAUCAUUCACGGUUUAAAGAUCAAGUAAUAUUUGUUUUUCGGUCGAUUUAAACAUUAAGUAAUAUUUGUUUUUAGGUCGACGUCCUAUGACUUUGCUCAACUAGUUCCUAGCUAAAAUGGUUAUUUGUUCUGUUGAACAUUUGGAGAAUCCAAUACUGCAUGAGUAUGCCGAUUCUGUUUUCUAACAUUUGAGGUUGGCAAUGGUUUUGCUGUAUUCAACUUCUGAAAUGACCGAGAACUUUGUCGUCUGAAUGUACAUCAAAUUGUAUGUGCUGCUAUUUGUAUGCUCAAGCAUGAUUAAUUAACUAUAGCAUAUUUGCAACUAUUGUCUCUUUUCUUUCAGUUGGGAAGAAGCAAAAAAGUAUAAACCAGUUGCAUCUAGAAACUGUAUUCAGUUUGAAGUUUGGAAGAAACACGUUGGAGGUCAUGUAGGCAUGACCACCAACUGCCUGCUUCAAAAUAUUUCUUAAUUCCGCAGAGGUGGUGACGUGGUGUAGAAUAGCAGAGACUAGAACUUUUCUUUGUACAAAACAAGUUGAAGAUCUUCUCUAGUAAUGGAGAACAAGGCCUUUUCUGAAAACAAAAUUGCAACGGUGAUUGCGCACUUCUGUUGUUAACAAUUCUAUGUCACGAGUGACUACUCGAUCCCUCGAUGGCAACACACAAUUAAAGCAACAGAGUUGGUAAUAGUGCAUAUGGAGAGCAAGAGUGCAAGACCACUGAGAUCGAUCAAUUUGAAAUAUAAACUCAAAUAACCAAAAUCCAAAGCUUUAUAACUAUAAUAAUGUCUGACAACACUUCCAAAGAUCUAAGCAAACAAUCUCCUUGAAAGAAAAAAAAAUACAAACAAUUCUAGAUUUGAUGUAAAAGAAAAGAAAAACAAACAAUCUAAGAAAUAGAUGAAAUUAAUAAACGUAGUACUUGCACCGCGAAACCUCAAUGAGAUCGUUGAGAAGUUCUAGCUUUACUCCUCAUGCAAAUCCUUCAAUCGUCGGAGCCAAAGAGACCACCUUCGCCAAAGAUAUCACCAAGAUCUCCAUCCUCUUCCUCUUCAUCUUCAACCUUCUCUUCCUUCUUCUGCUCGGCUGAAGCAGUAUCAGCAGCACCUGCGUUACUGGCUGCGGGUGCGACACCAGCAACUGCGCCGCCAGAAGGAACAACAGAUGCCAACUUCUCUCUCCCGGAGGCAACUACCUCGUUGAUAUCUUUACCUUUCAUUUGCGACAACAGCAACUCGAUCCUAUCAUUAUCGGCUUCGGCUCCGACAGACCCGAGAAUCUUCUUCACAUCAUCAGCAGUGGGACUGGUGUUCCCUCCCAGAACAGCCAGCAUAUAAGCAGCAAUCACCUUCAUGUCUUCUAAUUAACAAUGGCAGAGGGCUUCUUCAACUGGGGGAUUUGGGCAAAUUAAGUUGGGGAUUAUUGUAAGGGCGGGGUGGUUUAUAUAGAGUUUGAGAAAGGUUUAGUCGGCUAUCCGAGGACGUGGAGACCGAGUUAUAUAUGGAAAAGGAAUCCUAGUGCUUUAUGGAAAUUCAAGUGGUGAUUAUGGUAUGUCUGUAUUUCUUAUGGUAAGUAGUAUCUUAAGGUACUACGUGGGAUUCAAGGUAACCGGGUGCUACAAGGAAAUACCAUGAGAUUUUGUUUUCUAUUCCUAUAAGGAGUAGAAUCGUAUAAGCUUUGACAAAAAAAAAUAAUUAUAUGGUGAAAACAAAAGAUACCAUUAUAUAGUCUAUAAUUAUCGUAGAGGCUAUAUCCUUUUAAGACACAACUCUACAACUUUGCUCCGAGUAUAUGGUGAGAGUUAAGCCCACUGCUACCAUUUCUUUUGUUCUAUUAAGGCUGCAUUGUGGCACUAAGUAAAAAGAUCUUGAACAAUGAAGACAAAUCUGAUUGCCCCUACAAUUAUAAUAUGCUUAUGUUGUUUUUCAUUUAUAAAUCUUCAUCUUUUCAACUUAUAUGGGGAUUACUUUCGUUGUUAUUGAUAUUUCACCAUAACAACUGAUAUUACGGCUUAAGUUUUGAUGCUUAGGCUUUUGGCGUUUAUAUAAGAUGUUUUUCUUUGUCACGGUUGGAUAUGCAUCCUAAUAACAAUUCGAUUAGUCCUGGAUUUGGAUUAAACUGCGAAAGUAAGAAGAGUGGUUCUUGAAUAUAUUACUGCUGCAAUGAUGCUGCUCUCUACUCAACCUGUAUAAUAGGAGCCCUAAGGAUACUACCCAGCAAGUGCUAUUAUACAGCAAAACAUGUAUAGAUAUGAUUUCUGAUUCCCACAAGGCCACAACAACAAGAAUAAACAAGAUUGAUGUUUCGUUUGUGAGAAUGGGAUACAGCACAGUGAUCCUGAUACUAUGAGAAAUACAGCCAUGUAUUUUUCCAAAACCUUGAUUGCAACUCAGGAUUGGCCUGGUCCCACUUUUCAAUUCCUCUUCUCUUUUAUCCCAUGGUACGUGACUGUUGAUAUCAGUAGGGAUAUCUGCCCUUCUGAGAUCCAUACUUCUAUUUUCAACAUUGGUGGUAUGAAGGGUUGCUGUAAUGAAACAUUUUUUGUACGUGGCAUUUCUAAUAUUAUCUUGUGUCAACUAAGGAGUGUUUUCCUGAUUAGACAUGGAAAGAUGUCUGGACUUCACGUAUUGUCUGAGAAGAUGAUCGAGUUCAAAGAAAAAAAAAGAAAGAGCUGAGAGUGAAGGACAUUUGUUUGAUUGAAGAGAGGGUGAAUAAUGAAUGGGAUUGAAUUGAAAGAAAGGCAGCUAGUCACUUGAAAAAUAGAUUCGAGUUAGAAGAACACGAGAAGCGCCUAGGUUCCACCAUGUAAGGAUUUGAUAUGAGAGAGAAGGAACUUGAUCUAAAGCCCAAAGAACAUGAACUGAAGUGACAUGAAGUUAUGAACCUGCACCAGGUAAUAAGAUCUUUCUACUGCUUCUAGUUCUUACAUUGUAGGUAGCAUUAGUAACAUUACGUUAUAUUUUUGUACUCUUUAAGCUGUUCAUUGGUUGCCACUUAGUUCUAUGCUUUUUUUUUNUUUUUUUUUUUUUUUUUCUUUGGACAAGAUUUAACUAGAUCUUGCUGUUGUAACUUGCAAGUGUUCCAUAUACUCCUGACUGUUUUCAGGCAGUCUUUUUGUCAGGUUUGAACAUCUGAUUUUUGAAUUUUGAUAGAAGUAUAUCUAUAGCUCUGCCAGGCAACGUUUAGCCUAAUACUUAUCUCCACUCCCAAUCCUCACAAUUUAGCUAUUGAACUAAAGCAUGAGUGAUAUAUUAUGCUUUAAUUAUCUUUUUGUUAUGCAGGCUCAAUCGUAUUCACUAUACUAACCUACAUUGUGCUUUUCUUUGCUUCUUAAUUCUUAUUGCAAUUCACAACAAGAAAUGCAAUUUCUUCCCUUAUUUGGGGAACCAGAAUCUUUACUGGCCCAAAUAGCAUCAGUUUCAUCUUCUUCAAAUCCUCAGUUAAGUGACUCACGUGACUGGGGUUGAUUUGCUGGAGAACCAAUUUUUUGCUAGUCUGCAAAGUUCGUUAGACCCCGCAAAGCUUGUGUUGGAUUGGAUGAAAACUUAUCUCUCACAAUAUUGGACAAAAGAUGAUGUUGGUUUUGAUACUUUCGAACUUACUUCCAUCAAAACUACAUUUCACAGACAGCAAAUGUGAGACAGCUCAGCCAGAAAAAUUCCUUGGAAAUUUUAGACUUCUGCAUUUCAUUGCACAUUUGGGCUGCUUUUUAUUCUUAAUAUAGUUGAAAUCGGUAAGCUUCUUGGGAUGAUUUUUCAGCAUAAAGAGGCUCUAUAAUUAUGUCAGAAACUUGGUUUCCAGAUAAAAUUUCUGGUACGCUCUUGACAUUAUCUUUCAACUGUCUGUUCUGAUUGUAUGUGUUUGUACUUAUGAAUGUGUUUUGAGUAGAUGCCAUUUUCAUCUUAAGUUGUUACCUAUGAUUUUUUUUUCUUGAAUAAAUUUCCAACUUUGCAAUUCUCAUUUUGAAACUUCUGUAGAGCAGUUUCAUGAAUCCUUCCAUAUUGUUGUACAUAAAGCAGGGAUUAUACAGACUAUUGUUGAUUGAGAUGGAAAAAUGUAAUUAAAAAGUGGGUGUAAUUAAACGGUUAAUAAGAAAGUUCUCAACUAGUUCUUAACUUAGUGGUCCUCAUUAGAACCCCUCUCUAUAUUUAUACAUUUAUAUAUAAGUUAUAACAUUCCUCCCUUCGUGCUGUCUGAGGAUGGCCACGAGUUAAUAGCUGAUGCAGCAUCUUGUUGAAGAAAUCGUUAAACUUUUCUCAUAUUGAUGGUUGAAAUUUCUUAAUAAUUAGUAGGUAAGAAUGGUGGCCGAUUGGCAGUAGAUGUGGAUUGUUUAGUUCCUCACAAAGCUGCAGCUCCACAUACUUGAGAUUGUCUGAUGGUUAAUUCAUUAUCAGAUAGAUUUGUACCCAUUUAUAUAUAAAUUGCUCACAACAGUAACAUUGUAGUUCAACUGAGAUGUUGUAGUCUAUACUUUCUUAGUUAUGUUCUGCCGUUUAAACAGAAGGCUAGGUGUUAUGGUUACCUUAAUUAUCAAAACCACUGGGAAUAAAUUAUGCAAUAUUGUCUCUUACGAGUAAUCAACAAAAAUAAAUUCCAUUGAUUUGAUAUUGAAAUUAUAAGCAUAUAUCUAAAUGGUUGGUAUCUAAUUAAGUAUGAAGAACAAGCUGAUUUCAAAUCUGUUGUGUUUGAAUCUGUGUGACCUCGAUCCAAGAAGAAUGAAGCAGAUAGAAAACCAGAGAUGGGGAUGAAAAUUAUUAUACAAAUCAGAAAUUUACCCUAGCUACAAGAAAGGAUCUCACAACUCUUACGUAAUUGCAUGCCCUCGUCUAAGAUACCAUCGAAGACAGAACAUUGAUAUACGACAGUAGUAGAAGGAUGGGGAGAAGACUCAUCCUUGACCUCAAUGUCAAGCAGAUACAUAAGUCCUUGUACCACUUGACUCUCACCCUUGAGAACCCUCUGGAACACCAACUUCUUGUUGUUGGAUUCUUUGUUGAUUUCAGAAACCGCAAACUCCGCGAUCGUUUUCGUUUCGGGUGUGUCGAGAUUUUCGAUGGGACCCCAGCCACCGUCGACGGGGCGUCGACGUUGGUCGGCAACGACGAACGGGGAGAGGAGAAGAAGGAGAAGGCAGAGACGCAUCAUCAUGGCAAAGGGUUGAGUUUCUUCGUUCAAGACUUGAAGCCUGGAUUUGGAUUGGAGAAGGUGGUAGAUGUAACGAAAGAGAAAACGAGGACUGAUAUAUAUAGUGUGCAACACAGGGCUGGAUAUUUUGUUUCUUCGUUCAAGUCUGAAUUUGGAAUGGAGAAGGAAACAGAUCGAGGGCUGAUAUAUUAUAUAUCCUAAAAAAAAAAUNNNNNNNNNNNNNNNNNNNNAAAAAAUAAAAAAACACGCGGGUGUCAAAUUUUAUUUUUUAUUUUUUUCUGUUUUACAAAAAAAAGUAUAAUAAAAAAAAUGAAAAAAAUGAAAAAAAAGAGGUUUGACAAUUCCUUCGAUGGAGUAUGAGAUCGAAUAGAAAAAAAAAAUGAAAAAAAAGAAGAGGUUUGCGGUCGUGAAAAUUGAGGUUUUGGAAGAUAAGUUUAUGCAAAAUUUAAAUAGAGUAAUUAAGACUUUUGAUCCCUCUAUAUGGUUUUUAACUAUUUGAGAAAACUUGGUCAAAAAUUAAUUCGGAUGCCUAAAAAAUGUCAUUUAUCAAAAUUUCGCAGCAAUUGGCAGUUUGCAAAAAUUGCUGCUUUUAUAUUUUUAAAAUUACAAUUAAACCUUUAAACAUUAGAUUAUAGUUUGUUAGUGUGUGAUAAGUAAAAGGCAAUUUCGGUACUUUCUCAAACUCCUUCUAGCUUUAUUAAUAUUAGUCUUUCAAACUGCUCUAUAAAAGAUGGGAUGACACUACGUACCACGUCCUUUUUUCUCCUUAUAAUUCUCGUGGUGUUUUUCUGUAAAACCCAUAGUAAAUAUUGUUUUUAGUUUUUUCUACUACCUUGGUUUUUUGGGUAAUUCAAAAAAAGGUUUCACUAAAGACAUCAAAACCUAGUAAGAGACGAAAGGUUAAGCUAGAUCUUUAUUAUAUAAAGAGUAUUAUGGUCAUUAAAUUUGUCUUUUUUCUUCUAUUAAAUAAAUUAACCAUAGUUAAUAAUGGUUAUACCUUUUUACACGUGGUUAAAAGUUGUAAAUACUUGUAGUGUUAGGAAACAUACACCCAAAGGGAUACAAAUUUGCUACCUACCCAUACUUCCCCAUCCUCAUCCCCACUCACCUAGUUGAACGCCAUAUGUCCUAUCUUUUAAUCACAUUAACCAUAGUUAACAACAUCAAUUUAUAACAAUAAAUUAUAUUAUCUCCUAAAUUUACUCUUUUUUUUUAGAAUCAUCUCCUAAAUUUACUCUAAUCACUUUUUUCUUUUUCUUUUUCUAAACAAUUUAACAAAGUCUAACAAAUUUGUUAGGACUCCUCCUAGUGUCGUUGUUAUAGUGUCGUUGUUAUCGACUCAGGCCACUGGGUUUCUUCCUUCUCCUUAUAUCUCUUUCCAAUUUUAUUUUUUUAGCGUCUGAAUGCUAUUCCUAAUUUUUUGUUAACAUUAAUGCUAGUGCCAUGUUUUUUAUUUUAUUGUUUAGUGUUUGAAUGCUACUGCAAAUUCGGGUAUGUAUAUGCAAGAACUUAUUUAUUUGAAUUGAUAACAAUAGCAAUAUAUAGAUAUAUACAGGAUAUGACUACUUGUAGUUCAAUCACUUUGUUUCAAGUGUGAGAUUGUUCUAUGUCGACUUGGUAAUUAUUCUUUCAGAAAACCCCCAGACGUUAUAUAUCUUUGUUGAUCGAUCUUGAGGAGUCCUAAAUUUGUUAGGCUUUGUUAUUUUAUUUAGAAAAAAAAGAGAGUGAUUUAAAGUAAAAUAUAAUAUAAUAUAUUGUUAUACAUAGAUGUUGUUAAUCAUGGUUAAAGUAAUUAAAAAAUAUGACAUGUGACGUUUAACUAAAUGAGUGAAACGAGGGUGGGGAAGUAUGGGUGGAGAGUAAAUUUUCAUCCAAAUAUAGUUGGGGUGAAUAUAGUUAGCAAACGUGCUGCAUGUGAAACAUUUGACAACUAAUUUGUCAAGAAGUAAGUAACCUAGCUGACAGAUGUGAUUGAUAUUAAAGAGUGUCACACACCGCACACAUGAAACAAUGUCAUGCUCAUUGCCAUAUAAAUACGACCAUCACUUUGUACAUUUUGCAUAUAUACAACUCACUAAACUGAUAUUUGCUACAGAGAUGGCGGGUUAUGACGUGGUUGCCAGAACGAUCAUGAUGUUUCUGUUUUCAUCAUCAACAGCGGCUCAUGCAAACAACGUCGAGGUUGCCAAGAUCUUCCACGAAUGGACCAUCCAACACCAGAAGGUGUACCUGAACGACUUCCACAAGGAAGAACGCUUUCAGAUAUUCAAAACCAACUGGGAAUACGUUGAGAACUUUAAGAAGCUCCCAAAUCAGACCUAUACCGUAGGUCUCAAUAAGUUCUCUGACUUAACCAUAGAAGAAUUCCUGGAAGCUUAUAGUUGCGGCGGCUCAGAUCCCACUCCCACAAGUACCCACUCAAACUCGACGUCCUCAUCUCCUUAUAUCGGCAUCGAUUAUAUUGACUAUGAUACUUGCAAUGAAUCAAUCGACUGGACGAAAGAAGGAUAUGUGUCCCGCCCUGGGCAACAAAGUCAUGGUUCCACGGAUUGUGGUAGUUAUAAAAACCCAAGCCUGUUUCAUUUGCGCAAUCAGUCUGUGUGUGUGUGUUCUUUUCAAGUGACUUCUUAUAUAUGAUUCUUCUGAUAAAUAUAUUAUGAAGGUUCAUGCUGGGCGUUUGCGGCUGUAGCAGGAGUGGAAGGGAUUGUACAAAUUAGCAGGAACAAUAAAAACAUACCUCGACUAUCCGUGCAGCAGCUCGUUGAUUGUGAUAGAAAGUAUAACAAUGGAUGCCAUGGAGGUCUCGCAAUAGAUGCUUAUGACUAUAUACUAAAGAACGGAGGUAUCACAAGUGCCGAUAAUUACCCUUAUACCUAUAUGGAAGGACAAUGCGACGUCGCUAAGGAAAAGCAGUUUGAGGCAGGCAUCACCGGGUUUACUCUUGUUCCGCCCAAUGACGAGUUUGCGCUGAUGAAGGCAGUAUGCAGGCAGCCUGUAACGGCCAGAAUGACGGUGGCAAAAGGACUUCGGUGGUACACUGGUGGAGUAUUCAUGGAAGAGUGUGGACCCAAGUUAGGGCACGCACGCUGUGACCAUUGUUGGAAUGGGGAAGACUGAUGACGGCGUUAAGUAUUGGAAACUGAUGAAUUCGUGGGGUGAGGAUUGGGGCGAAGGAGGGUAUUUCAGAAUUCUCAGAGGAACCGGCAAGCCAGAAGGUCAUUGUGGAAUAAAUGUUGAACCUACUUAUCCCGACAUUUAUCCCGAUAUAUGAAUUAUCAUCGGUAAUUAAUUAGAAGAAUAUAUGUCAUAGCCUUAUCAAGCUUAUCGGUGGCAAAAGUCAUAGCCUUAUCAAGAAUUUCUCUAUUAAUAGGAAUUCAAAAUCUUGUCAAUUGUUGGUAUAUGCAUUCUGUUCUCUCAGUGUUUAUGUCAAUCCAUCUUUCUCGGUUUUGAUCCUUGCUUUGAUGAUGCUUCUUGUUUACCGGGAAUAACUGUUUUUCUUCAGAAGUUCAAGCCUUGAAGUAAUGCAAUGAGAGGAAGAAGCAUGACAAAGAAAAGUGAGAUCGUAGCAGAAAUGAGCUGCUGACAUCAGAUUGCCUAUUAUGUAUGAUUUUUGGAUUUUGUUGGUUUAAAUGGAUCUAUAAGUGAAAUUGUUAAGCAACUCUUAUAUAUGUCUGCAUUUACAGUGCUCUGAUUCAGCUUAAUAACUUCUUUUAACCAUAGAUACUACCUAUGUUCCUGUGACUUUAAGUCAUUUAACUACCAAUAAUCUCACAAGGAGCCAAAGGUUUCAGAUUUGGAGAAGUUGCUUUCAUUUGGCUUUUCGCCAACAUUUCCUAGGCAUCAUCCACUGUAACUGACUCGUAAUCAUUGAAAAUGUGAUAUUAAUAGCAAUCCUACUCAGAGCACUAAUCACGUUCAUAUGCAUAAAGACAUUCAGGAAGAAUGGAAGAAUUGCAUAAAAAAAUGAGCAGAAAAUCCCCUGGUCAAAUACGAUAAAUAUGCACUUAAAUAUUGACAAAAUGUCUUAGAAAAGGUUCACCCUUCACUUACAAACCCCUACUGUUAGUCUAUUGAAGCAGAGGGUUAAUAACAAAUAGAAAUGUAGGGCGAUCUUCGCUGAGAAACUAAAGCAGAGUUGCUUUGGCAUUACAGAAGCCAUUUACACAACCUGUUGUCAGGACAUUGGGGAGAAACCCAGGUAGCAAAUCCAUAUAGCUGAUGCAGUCUCAAACCUGCAAGUUAAAUCAGAGAACCUUAAGCACAACCACGACAUUAACUGAGCAAGCAAUCGACAGAUGGCACAAUAUGACCUCUGAUUACUCACAGGAAUAUGUGGAUCUAGGAAGACCCUCUAAGCAGGCAAUCCAUUGCCCGAGUUAAGUUUUUUGGACUUCUGGGUGAUGCCAGAAUUGACACAGCCACUGCUCCCUUCCCCAAAGGCCUUCUUAGGGUUCUUUUUGUCUCUUACCCUGCAUAUCAGAGACAUAAACUAGGAUCAAUAUCUUAAUCCUAUUUGUGAAAUAUCCAUGUAUUUACAAAUUCAUAAUUGAACAAUAGUUUGAGCAAGGAUCUCUAGCCAAGGUCCAAGCAUUAGCAAGCAACGAGCAUACUUUCAGAAUAUCUCAUACUUUUAUCCAUAAAACUUGUGCACUGAAAUUGUAACAUGUGUAUCUCAAAUGAACGAGCAUGAUGAGUCUUCCUUUGGGAAUUGGGAUUACAUGCUAAUUGACUCUCUUUUAAGUAUCAAGAAGUGUGUCGAAUAUAUCUUUAGCAUCAAUGUUAGUUGAAACUAAAUCACCCUGUAAAUUUGUAAUCCUCCACCAUUCAGCAAAACUCAGAGUACUAUAUUUAUAAGCUAUUUUAAUCUUGACGAAAAAAUCUGUCAACCACCCUGAUUUACUGGAAAGUAAUUGCAACAAGAGCUGAUUUAACAAAUCUACAUAACAUAAGCAGACCUGCCUUUUCCAUAAUGAUAAGCAAGUCUAUAGACAGCAUAUAUCAUGACACAGCAUUCGUAUGUUUGUGAUAUAACACCUACUUUCCCAGAGCUAAUGAUACAAAUUAUUUAUGUAGGUGUGAAAGUGCAAUACAUUUACCUACAGAAGCAUCAGCCUUCCAUAAACAAAAACCAGAACAAUAUUUUAGCAGAGAAGUGCAACUACAUAUAUGCUUGUAUCUAAGUAUAUCUAUCGAAUGUAGUUUGAGUACCUUUUGAUCUCCUCGCCUUUUGCAACAUCAUGGAGUGAGAAAAAGCAUGGGUUGUAACCAAUUGCACGAAAGUACUGGGGCCGAGCAACUCUUAUUUCCUUGAGACUCUUUGUUCCUUGGUUGUAACAAACCACAAGCCAGUCAUUGUAGCACAACAGGAUGUCUCCAUUUCUCAAAAACACCAGUGGUUCAUAAACAUCGUUGUCGAGUUCUGGCUGAUACAAGCCUUCAACAACCAGAGUUUUCGUCCAGGACUCUUGGACACCAUACUCCUUCAUAACCCACAUGUCAAAUUGACUCGGAUCAUCACCACACACACAUAAAACAAACAACCAUCAAACACUCCCAACUUGAGACACUCUUUAAACUGCAUCUCGAUUGGCUCAAAGUAACCAGGUGCGGGUAGUGUGCGGAACUCUUCUGUUGCAAAGUUAAAUGCAUGUAUAAACUGGAAUGUUCCUCCACCAAAGGAAAGCCAAUGAAGAGCUCCAUGGAGUUCAGCAUUGAACGGCGCUAACUGGGCAGAGUCCUUCGGAGUUUUCCCAAUGCUUUUCCAAGCUCCAGUACCAAGUGUGUAUAUCUGAGCCUCAUUGUCCCCAUUGCGAUAGUCAUCGCCACAUGUUUGCAGCACCUUAUAUUCCUUGGUUGCGGCGCUAUAACCAAGUCCGAAGAAGCUACAGCAUCGCCUCUUCUCAUUAGACAGCGGAAGAGCGAUGAACUCACCCAAAAUGGGAUUGCAGACAUACAAGGGGCCAAGUCUAGUCGGGCCAGCCCCAGACAAAAGAAGCAAACCAUUGCAUGAGUGGGUGUAAUCAAUCACCUUUGAUUUCCUCUUGUCAGAUCUGAUCUUGACCAGUAUCCCAAUGGUGGGUGAUUUCGAGAGUCGCGUAAGCGAAAAAUGAGGGUCGGAGAUAAUGGAAAGCCAGGAUUUGCAUACGCACCUGCAGUUGAGGAGGGUGUCGACCAAGACUAGCCGUGAGAGGAUGUCGAUGACUAAAGCCUGUGGAAGGUGUUGGAACCUGCAGGGGCCUUUGGGUUGACAUUCUUCUUGUUGUUCUUGUCUGUUGAUGGGUGAAACGUCUGCUGCUCGUUUCCUUGGACCCAUUUUGGGGCUCUCUCCAACUCGUUGUUCUUCUGACUUCUCUACAAGUGGGAUUUGAUUUUGAGGAAGUGGGAAUUUUGGGUAAUGCGGAGAGGAUGAGAGAGAGGGGCCAAAGUUGUGUGCUUUAUAAGUGGAAAAAAACAAACCCUGAUUUGUGGCGGGAUUGUCAAACAGGAAAAGAACUUGGCGGGAAAGUAUGCCGCGCGAAACACCCUUACGAAAAUUACAGUUUUACCUAUUGGAAUUAUGGGACUUGAAAGGAGAUCAAAUUAUCAAAUCCACUCCAUCUAUUAACAAUGUUACAAUGGAUCCGGACCAGAUCAAAAUCUGUUUCAUUGACAUUAAGAAGAGAGAUGGCAACAAUACAUUAUUACAUCAUUUCCCUCUAAAACUCAGUUUUGUAAAAUUGGUACAUGAAAGAGAAAAAAAAAAAUCAUUCGUUUUAACAAGGUACCCAAGUGACCUAUUAACUUUUUAUACAGCUUAUAGGGCAAUUCCUCAAUCUAUACAGUAAUAUCUGUUGACCCAAAGUCGCAACCAAAACAAAUGUAACUGUGAAUGAAUACGGCGUAGUGAUUGUUUUAAGUCAUCUAUGGGACACGCUCCAAUACUCGUUGGAGUGCUUGUUUUAUACCUUCCUGAUCAAGUGUUGUUGUCAGUUGUAUUUCCUGCACCUGAUGAGUCAAAGUUCAUAUUUAGGGUACAUUUGGGAAGAGUGUCAUUCAAAUCUAGGGAUUCAUAUUAUAUACAUAGCUAUAUUGGUUGAUAGAAAAUUACCACGGGUUUGUAGACUAGUUGUAUGUAGUUAUUUCAUAUCAUUUCAACUACAUGGUAUUAAUUUUAAGCCAUUUAAUCAACUGUUUUCAUGUGCUCUUUACUCAUAUAUCCCCUAUCCAACUCCAACCUUUUAAACUAUAGAUGUAUGUAGGUCACGUUUGCAAUUUGUUUGCUAUGGGUAUAUCUGUGUGAGAUCAAGAAGGAAAUAUGGAACUGACCUGCCUUCCUGCCCGUGCAAGGAGAGUAAACUUCCGGUUAAUGGCUGGUGACUGAGGUAACAAGCAAGACAAAGUUAGAGUAAGAAAGUGUUACACUUGGAAACCUUUUUUGAAAGCACAAUGAAGAUAGGAAGUUGAAAUAUUUAACUGAAAGGAACUAACAUUAGAGAGCCAAAGUUGCAGGUCCUGUGAAACCACCCUUUUCUCAAACCCUUGGCGAGUGAUUCCUACAUCAUCUAUUCUGGACAUAGCAGCAAGUAUCAAAGAUCAGUUGUUUAAACUCCAAAAAGCCAUCAGCUAGCAUGUUCUUUAUACACACCAGGCCAGAGAUCAUAUGCUAUACCAGAAAAGCUUAACUUGAUCCUUUAGUGUAGAGAAAUUAGGGAAUUAACUUAUAUCAUUGCAUGCCCAUGUAUGGGCAGCCUCGGCAACAAUUGGAUUUGAUGACCCAAAAUAAUGUUUGUGCUAUAUAUGAUAGGACCAAAAAUUAGAAUAAAUGGAGUCUGAAAAAAGAACAUUAAAGACUCCCAUACACAAUGUGCAUCAUUUACAAUUAACAAAAAAGUAUGAACCUUCUCUUAUAUCCCUGCUAUGACUCUAAGUCAUAAUUUAAGGCCACUUUUAUACCUCACCAAAAUGAUUAUCUCUGUAUUAAAAAUUUUAAAAUUUUAAUUUAAGAAACAGCUUUUUAUUGAGACAAAAAGCAAAUAACAAGGAGCUUCAAAAGAAAAGAGAGCAGCUACAGCUAAAGGGGCAUAGCAGCUCAUCUUUAAGAACUAAAACUAAAUAAAGAGAUUAUACCACAGUUGCUUCCCAGUUAAGAAUAAUGGAGAAAGACUAUAAUCCUUAAAUUCCUAAGAAGUAUAAGCCCCUAAAGAUGCCUAGAACUUGACUCUCUCCCACAGGUCUUCUGUCACAUCCCGGGACCCGCUCCGCCGUAACACGAUAUUGUCCGCUUUGGGCCCACCGGCCCUCACGGUUUUUGUUUCCUGCAGCUCAGGAGCAGCUUCCCAGUAGGUCACCCAUCCUGGGAUUGCUCUAGCAUCAACAUGCUUAACCUCGGAGUACCCAUCCCCUCCGAAGCCGCUGAGCCACCAAAAGGCCUCGUGUUAGAUUGGAGGUGGACAUGUACAUAUACAGCACAUAACCCCUCUCCGUUUGGCCGAUGUGGGAUAUUACAAUCCACCCCCUCUUGGGAGCCCGACGCCCUCGUCGGCACACUCGCACCACACGGCAGAGUGGCUCUGAUACCAUUUGUCACAUCCCGGGACCCGCUCCGCCGUAACACGAUAUUGUCCGCUUUGGGCCCACCGGCCCUCACGGUUUUUGUUUCCUGCAGCUCAGGAGCAGCUUCCCAGUAGGUCACCCAUCCUGGGAUUGCUCUAGCAUCAACAUGCUUAACCUCGGAGUACCCAUCCCCUCCGAAGCCGCUGAGCCACCAAAAGGCCUCGUGUUAGAUUGGAGGUGGGCAUGUACAUAUACAGCACAUAACCCCUCUCCGUUUGGCCGAUGUGGGAUAUUACAUCUUCCCUCUCCACCCAACUAUAGGUUUCAAAUAUUCUUCUAUUUCUCUCCAUCCAGACCACCCAGACUACUGCUAGCAUCCCACAAGCCCCAAGAAUUCUGGCUUUAUUUCCUUUUCCAAAAGCUGAAAGAUUUUCUUUGAACAAAUCAUUCCUCUCUGAUGGAGCUGUCCAGACCACUUUUGCCACCCUAAAUAAUUUCUUCCAUAAGAAAACUUCACAAUGCACAAAGACAUGAUCAACACUUUCCCCUUGAGCCUUGCACAAAAUGCACCAAUGAGGGGCAAAACAGCAACCUGGGUCUUCUCCUUUGAAGAACAUCAAAAGUGUUCAACCUCCCGUGUGCCACAAGCCAACCCAAUAUUUUUACCUUAGUAGGGGCCUUGGAGUUCCAAAUAAACUUUGCAGGCACAAAGAUUGGGUCUAGUCCACUACUAAUUAGGAAUCUAUGAAAAGAGUUAGAAGAGAAUCUCCCAGUAGACUCGAGCUUCCAUCUCCUUUCAUCUGGUUUGGAUUCAACUAAUCGAACAUUUUCUAGCUUAGCCAUCAACGAGGCAAACUCCUCAAUCUCCUGUUCAUUCAGAUUUCUUCUGAAUCCAAAAUCCCAGAUCAUCGGAAAACUAGAGUGAACAACUAAUCUUUCCACCAAAGAAUUGGUGUGUCUCGAAAGUCUGAACAACCUUGGAAAGUCGAAUCUCCAGGGUUGAUCCUCUAACCAACAAUCUUCACAAAACCUCACCCUUUUGCCAUUUCCUACAACUAGUUUAUGACAAUGGGAAAAUGCACUUAAACCAGCUGAAAUAUGUUUCCAGGGGCUUCAACUUGAUCUGCCCAAAAAUAGUUUUAAAUCCCAACCGUUCUCAUCGUACCCAUAUUUACUCCUUACUACAGCGUGACAUGGAUUCUCGCUCCAAACGAAAUCUCCAAAGCCACUUCCCUAUAAAAGACUUGUUUCUUGCAAUUAUGUUCCCAAUCCCCAGCCCUCUUUCUCUACUUUUUGACACAAUCUCCCAGCUGCAUCUUUAUAAAGGGCCACUUUCCACUCCAACAUGAAGCAAAGGGAACGAGGCAUGGACUACUGUUGCUAGUUUUACCACCAAGAUACUGAAUUUUGACCUAAACUGAAUGCUUAUUCAUGCCUCGUGACAAAAUUUUGGUGGCUGAUCAUUUGUUCAGUCAUUGACAAUUCCAAAUUUAUUGUUAAGCUCUUAGCAUUCGUUAUUGUUAGCAGGCACGUAGAUGUAUGAUUCACGAGCAUCAGCAAUAUAUACAGCAAUACCAAUAUGUAGAAGUUCCUAAUCAAGUAUUUCUUAACUUUUAGUUGUUUAUGAUGAAAUUGUUCUCGCCAACAAAUCUUUCAGUAGUCGAUUUCAAAAAGAAAAGUAUUCAG
rnacentral:lncRNA from 1 species